rnacentral:lncRNA from 1 species
UCCUCAAGCUCUGCAAACUUCUCUGGGGUAAAAGGGUAUGCCUGAAUCCCAUGUUCUUGGAUUGCCUCGGCAACAUUGGAGUGAAGAGUCUUUCCAUCUGGCCCAAUAACAACCAAAGUGGGCAGGGCUGAGAGCUCAAAGUAGCGAGCUAGUUUCUUACAGCUCCUGUCCUUGAAGGGCAAUGCAAGCCAAGGCAUGCUACCAAAAUUUGUUUUGAAUGAUUCUAUCUCAUCAUCAAGCGAUAUCAUGACAAUUUCAAAGCUCUCCCCCUUCGCCCUUAAUUUCUUAUAAACAUCCACUAGCGUUCGAGUAAAUUGAAGGCGUGGCUUGGAGGAAGACAAUGAGAAAUACAGUCCAACGAACUUCCCUUCUAGUUCAGACACAGGCACCUUGUAUUGAAAUAGUUUAAGAAGAAAUUCAGACCAGGAAGAAACAAUAUGAAUCAUGUUCAAAUUUAUAGAUGCGAGAAUAACUAUUUCUUGAACAAAAAGCACUGUCAAUGAAAUUCACCCUCUUUCCAUCAGUUGAAAUUACAUAGUCGCGGGAUUGUGAGACUAAGAUGGAUAUCAAGGAUUGUUCCUUCUUGGCCGUUUCUUCCUUUUCCUUCAGUUCUUUGAUCUUUUCAGCUGUGAAAGGAUACCCUUCCACUCCAUAAUCUUUUAUGAUCUCAACUCCCUCACUGCUCAAAACCUUGCCAGAUUCAUCAAGCAUCGCAAGGCUUGGAAUCCCCCUCACCUUGAACAAUUUCUUCAAGUGAUCACGCGUGUCCGAAUCAGAAAAUGGGAUUGCAAGCCAGGGCAUCUUGGAGAAAUAUUCAUUGAACAACUGAUCGCCUUUGUCACGUGAAACAAAGAUGAUUUCAAAAUCGCCUUUGGAGGAGAAUUCAUCGUACACCUCUACUAAUUCAGGGGUGAAUUGCCGACGUGGUCCACACCAUGAUGCUGAAAAAUAUAGCCAAAUUUUCUUCCCCUUUAAACUCUCAACUUUAACCUGCAAAACACAGAAUUUAGCCGAUGAACUCCCUUCUGGAUCACUCUAAAAGCAAUUAAUGCUAUUAGGCCAAUUGAACUUUUUGCUGCUUAAGACUCUGUUAACAAUAGUCACAACUCUUCUGUGAUUUAAGCGUUGGUGGGUGUUGGACUCUUGGUUAAUUGGGGGCGUCCAGCUCCUUUUUUCAUUCGAAACUCUUAGUUCCACUCAAGCUUCUUUUUAUGGUAGAAUAAAAGCAGAGAAGAUGGAAAAUACCUGGUGGCCAUUGCAGCGGACAAGAAAGUCCCGAUCCUCUCUUGUGAGAAGCGGAACCAAAUCGUGAGCAACGCCAUCAACGUUUUCGCUAGCCAUGUCUUCUGAUUUUGAUCACAAUUUUUUUAGCCUGUGCCUUUGCACUUUGGUGCCCAGCUUCUAUAGCAUCUAAGUCGGUUAGACCUAAGCCAUCCAGAAGCCUUAGGGGUGAAGAAAACCAAAGUCUACGUAUGUGGUGUACGUAGAUGCCCAACGUCAGCGCGGGCCGCGGUCCCCUCUAGGGAAAAAGACAUAAGUUGCGUGGCUGCAUAUUGUAAUGGUUGUCAUUUAAUAUGAAUGUACUACAAUUUUGAAAGUUUAGGUAAGGAAAUAAGUACUGAAGAAAGACUUGCGGGUUCUCUACUCUAUCUCAUGAGCUUGUAUUCCUGAGGACAAUGACCCACAUCCUCCCUUUUCACCUCAUUAGACCCCAUUAAAACAUAACUUAUUGGUAUCAUCUGGAGCUUCGGAGCAUUGUUCAAAGUAGCUCCAUUUCUUUCUCCCCCCACUUUAAAUGAGUUUGAAACAGUAAUUUCAAUUAAAAUUAGAAACCAUAAUUUUAGAAUACGACUAGAACUGCAGUUUUAAGGCGCAAAACUUUACAAGUCAUAGCUUCUAGAUGUAAAUAUAAUAUAUUGGCCAAAAAGUCCACAUGAAGCAAAACUACUUUUCAUAUAUGUUUACAUUUUAAAUACUUUUAGAAUCUAAUUCCAAGUAAAUUGAUAGACUUUACUGAAUUUCUUUGAAAGAAAAGUUUGUCCAAAUAAAUUUAUCAAAGUUAAAAAUCGAGAAAAAUUAUUUUGAGUAUCAUUAAUAUAAAAACAACAAAUUUACCAUGUUUUGUCUUAUAUUUUGAAACUUUUAAAAAUGAUAUGUUUUUUAUAUUUAGUGAAAUUUUUGCAUAGCUAAGAUAACAUAUAGGACAUUUGAAAACUCUCAAUUAGGCCAUGUUAUCUAAACCUUUAAAAGAAGUAAAAUUUUAAAUUCAAAAAUUACAAAAUAAAGUAUUAUGCUAUUGUUAUUAUUUGGAAAUAUAUAUUUAAAUAAAAAAAUUUGUCGUUACUUGUACAUUAAAAUUAAAAUUUUUGAAUAUGAAAAUAAAUGAUUAACGUACCAUAUUACACAUUAUAUUAUUAUCCUUUAAUUUACAUUUCAAAUUCUAGAUUUAUGGGUUAAUCCCAUUGUAUUAUAACUAAACCAUAGUUCAAGAAAUUGGGGUGUGAUAGCAACAUAGGUACAAAGUUGACAAAGCCUAUAACCAAACACUUGAUAUCUAUUAUAGUAACCUUGAAUAAAAGGACUUGCUAGAAAGAUGGUGAGUUGGCUACUCAUCUUGAUCGAAUGUGAAAUCGCUAUCUCAAAUAGGUAAAAUAUAAAGCCACUAAGACAAUGAUAGACAAAGGAAGUUGAUUUAGAAAAAUAUAAAGACAAAGAUAAAAGUAUUGGAAGUACUAGGUGUGGGGACUCCUCUCCACGUGUCACAUUUCCUCGGUAUUGCUCGGAUAACUGCCACAGUGUUCGGAACCUUCCAUCCGAACCACACAGACAUAUGGCAAAUGGCAUCGGACUCUCUAAGUGGACGACACUUUCCAGCCAGCCUUUAAGUCCCCCUUGCUACAUGUAAUCAUUUCCAUCUAACAUGGAAGUGGUUGAUGGGAUCUCCCCCAAUCCUCACAUCCAUGUCAAUUAAUUAUCACGCACUACCCCAUACCUCCAGCAAGUUGAAGGGACGGACAAGUGCAUGAUUUAACAUCAUGACACAACUUCUAAUGGCACUUGCAGGCUGCCCAAAAUUGUAAUGAUUGCCUUACUACCUACAGGGCAACCAUCAUUAUAGAGAAGGUCAAAGUGUUUAGUUAACACUACAGUAGCUUUCUUCUAAGCACUAUAAAAAGUUCCCCCUGAAGCAUAAUUUAGGUACAUGCACUAGAACUGACCCACUCAUUCUCUCCCUGAAAGAGUUUGACUUGUCUUUGUCUAACUUAAGUUUCGGAGGGGCGUGCUCGGACCACUUGUCCGAACAUCCUUUGUGUAGGGAAUAAGCUAUCACCUAGUUUCCCAUCAUUAGGCAAGAGCUCUGAGGGGCACAACUCAAGGAGGAUCUAACCUCAGUUGACCCUGCAUCAACACUACGAUUUAUGGCUUUAUUAAAAUUUAAAAUGAAUAAAAAAGGCUCAAAAGAAUUACAUUUCUAAAAACAUAUAUAAAAGAAAGUUGCUCAGUUGGAUGCCGUAUAGUUUGCCCUCUAUUAUUGAGUCUACCUCAAGAGUUAGACAAUCAGACUUCUCACCAAAAAAACAUUAGAGAGUUAUGAUGCGAAAGUCUAAGGAUAAUAUCUUUACAAUAAAAUAUUUUUAAAUAAAAUUUAACAACAAACUUAACUUGAGAAAGCCUUAUAUGAACUAUGAUAACAUACUUGAAAUAUUUUAAUAGAAACAUACAAUCAACAUCAAUAUAAAUGUUUGCAAUCACAUGAAUUAUGGAAAUGUAUUAUCAAUUAUGCUCCUUAAUUUGAUCAUAUCACAACUAGUUAAAUUGAAAUAAUUGGUUGCCAUGACACCCAUCCAUUUCAACAUGAUUAUUAGAUAAAUAGACAUAAUUACCAUACUGACCAUCUCACGACAUAAAGAUCUACAUAGAAAAAAUAAAAGGGCAAGAUAACAUUUCAUGUAAAUUUGUUCAUAUUUCAUAAUAACCAUAAUUCAUAAUCAUGGUAAAAUAAUAUCUUCAAAAUGGACUAUUGUACUAUUGGGAUUGAACCUCUAAAAACAAAACAUAAUGUAAUAAAGUUAGACUUCAUUAUCACUAGGUUAUUCAUUUUCUUUCAUUGACAUUGAUUUGAGGAUUCAACUUAUAUCUCUUACAUUGUAUAUGACUUGGAUGUAUUAAAAGUUGUACGGAUGAUACAAAUCAUAGGUUCUUUGUUAGUAGAUAAGUUGUUCAUAGCCAGUUCAUGGAUUUAGGCAAUCUAAUAAAGACAUAGUGUACUACCUUCUAAUUGGAAGGAUGACUUGUCUUGACCAUCAAGAUGUAUUUCCUAUAGUGAGUGCACUACUGUAUGCGAUGCACAUUGGACAAAACCUAUAGUGAAUCAUGAUAUAAGGCUAUCGAUUGUCAUGAUUCACCAAAUUACUAUACUACAUGGACUCUCAACCUUAAGAGGAUAUUAAGUUUAUGUUAAAGUCAACAGGAGACUUUGGCCUAUGGAUAAGUGUAGACUCUCUAUUUUGUCAUCUUAGCAAUAUUCCAUCUAGGAUUGCCUUCCUACAUCCCUUGAUGUCCUAUUGUACACUUAUGGAAAUUUUCUGAGCUAUUUUUUAGUCUUGAUUGGUGGUCCAAUGUGACUUUUUGGUCACUAUCUUUGGAAAUAUAUUAGGGAAUUUUUUAGGGAUCCUCAAUGUGACUGCUUUGUGACCUUUGAUAUUUUAGGAUUUUGUUUGAUUGAGUUUCUUUUAGUAUAUUAAGAUAUGACAUCUAGUUUUAGGAUUAGAUGAGUUUGAGUUUUUUUUUUGUUGUGUGAGGGCUAUUUGAUUGCAUGAGAUUUGGCUUUCGAUCUUUGGUUACAUAUGAGUGGUACUCUAAUUUGUGAUUUUAUGAGUUUUGAUUUUGAAAUGUGAAAAUUAAUUUUGGUCUAUUUUAUGAUUUUGGUCCUUGAAUUUCAAGUUGCAUGAGUUUUGUUUUUUUGUUUUCCUUUUCUUCCUCUUAAUUUUGUGUGGCAUGAAGAUUAACCAUUGAACUUUAUAUAAGUAAUUUUUUUAGAUAAUAGUGGAUCAUUGGCAUAUUUAUUUACAUUUUUUGUGAGGUCAUAAGAAAUGAAGGUUGGCGAGGACUAUACAACAAACUUAAGUCUUCCUUGCUUGGAAUUGCUGCUUCAUGGGUGACUAACAAAAGGAUCAUUAUGGUUUUUCAAGUUGGAUGUGGAACAUGGAUCAAAAGGAGAGUCAAACUUGAAAAUCAUAUCACCAUACAUUUGGAGAAGGGAAAGGACUUCAGCCAGGAGGAUCAUGUGGCAUUAAAGGCUUCUCCAUUAUGCCAUCACGUGUCAACCAUGAAAGAGGAUUCCAUUAAAAGGAAUCAACUAGGGUCACUUGCAUGCAUUAGGGGUGUACAUCACAACCUCACAAGAUCUUUAUUCAGGGGUUCUAGAAAUCUCCAGGAGCUUCAAGAGGAUCAAGGAAGAGUCACACAAUUGGAGUGGAUGAGGUCGUGCAUUAGGAGAGAGUUCUCGGGAGCAUGCAUUUGAACCAUUUCUUCGAUUUUUUGAGGGAAGCUACAACUGUCUUGAGAGGAUUUUGGAGGUUUCAUUUAUUGUUAGAGAAGGAUAAUGAACUAAACAUUUUUCUUCUAGGGUUCUAGGAGGAUUAGGGGCUUCUGAUAAUUGUCCAACUUUGUAGCUUACCAUCUUCACACCGACAUUUUUGAGGAAGAUCUCCAUUGAUGCAUAUUGGUUCUGGAGAGCUUCAACAGAGAAUAUGUCAUUCUUUGUAAUAGUGAGCACCAUUUUUUUCAUAGAUGAACAUCACAUACAUCUCCAUAAUGACAUUGAUAAGAGAAUCAUCAGAGAUGUCAUAGCUUGAGGUCAUGAAUUUCUACAUCGAAUCAUCACCAUUACGCGAUGACAAUUAGAGAAAGCAAUCACCGAUCUUGGGAGAAAAUUAUAUUUGCUUCUUCUAACAACUUGUAACGCCUCAAAUUCUUGGGAACCCAACAUUUGAAUCAUGACCCUAGGUCAAAUGUUUGACCCUAAGGAUUACUCCCAUCCAUGCUGACAGUCAAUUCUGAUAACUUGAUUUUUCUUGAAUAAAUAAACAUCUAAUCCCAAAUAAAUUUAUUAAGUUAAGAUAUACUAUAUGAUUUUUUUUUUUCCUAAACCAACCAUCACCUUUUCAGAAGUACAAUAAAUCCACCUAUUAAUCUUACUGUCCAAGAUGAUAACCCAAAUAUUUACACUAGUCUCUAAGCAAAAAAAUAUUUCUAAAAAUAUUUUACGAACUAACAAAGUAUAAUUUAAGUUAUAAAAGUUCAUAUAACUCAAAUUAGUACAUGCCAAAAGGUAAUAUAAAUUAAAAACAACCGUUAUUAUUAUUAUUAUUAUUAUUAUUAUUAUUUACUUUCUGAGACUUUUUGGAACAUUUUUUGAUCUUCUUGUGGUUCCUAAAAAACUAUAUCUGCACCUAAAAAUUUUAGAAAAUAAAGAGGUGAACAUUUUUACAUUGCUCAGUAGGGUGUUUUAUACCCAAAUGAGCUAGAAAUUCUAAGUCAAUAAAAUACAAUUAUAUGUCAAACUAUAAUAUUACAUUUACAUUAUAUACAUUAAAUGAAACAUCAACCAUACAAAUUUAAACUGAUCAAAAUUAUCACUUUUUUUAUUCAAUCAUAUGUCUAGCAUAUCAACAAUUCUAAAUUUACAAAAUAAAUUAGUCAUUUUAGUCUCGAAUAAUAUAUUCAAACAUACAAUUGAUAAAUAAUACAAAUCCUUCUUUCAAAUGUAAUCAUGAUGCAAAUGCUUACACGUAAUCAAACAAUGUGUUGUUGUUCUCGGGCCUUCACCAAAGAAUACGCAUUUCUACCCAAAUACACUCCCUAUUCGAAGCUUUUUUGGGGUAAACUUUUAGAUAUUUUACCUUAGGGAUUUCAUCUCCUUUUUAAUUCGCUCUUUCUAGGGUCCUUCCAUUUCUCAUUUUUUAUUUUCUUUUCAUUUUUGCCAUUUUCGGGGUCUUUUCAUUCUUGUUUCCAUUUCACACAACCAUUUCUUCAAUUUUUUUUUCUUUCGCACGCUCAUGAUGCAUAUGAAAUACAAUAAACUCACAUGUUAUCAUCCACAAUUUCCCAAGAUAUAAUUUUAUUUACUCCAAACAUGCUCAAUAAUUUCCAAUAAUCAACACAACCAUUUUUCUUUAGUUAAAUCACCACAAACCUCUAAAUAAUAAUAAUAAUAAUAAUAAAUUAAUCAUAAUAGUAACCAUAUUCCAAAUAGCAUAAAGAACAAUCCAAAAAGCAUGUUGUGGACCCCACAUUUGCUUAAUGUGUUCCCACUAGAUGGCGAAAACUUGCUUUUUUAUUUUGUUUCGUGAAAAUUUGAUUUUUAGAAAAAGACUUGGAGUCGCCACUUAAUUUUGUUUUAUUUUUAAAGAAAAAAACAAAAUAAGAAAGAAAAACCCUAAGUGUAACUCCUGAAGGAAAAAACGGGUCUGUGAAAAACCAAGUCUAGGUACCCUGUCAGGUUACUUAUUGGGAAGGUACGGUGGUGAGCCGUAGCACCCUUCUAAGCCCGCGUAUGUACGACCUCUACUAAACGAAUUGAGAAAAUUGUGGCAAUUAAUUAAUUAAUUAUGGAUACCAAGAAAAAUAAUCAAUAUACAAGUCAUGGUGAAAAUUAAUAUGCACAAAAACAAUGAUGAAAUCUAAUUACAAAAAUAUACAAAAUAAAUAAUAAGAGGAUUAUGCAAAAUGAUUUAUUGAAUUAAAUAAAUAAAAGAUAUUUAAAAAAAGUUUUAAAGAAAUUUCAAAGGAUUCUAUUGAAAAUGAUUUUGAAUUAGUGAUUUCCAUUUAUUUACUUAUAAAAAAAUCAAUUUAUUCUCUCAAUUUUAGUUGUAUUCAAUUAAAAAAAAAAACUAUUUACACUUAUUGUAUCAAAAGAAUUUAUUACAAAAUUUCAAUUUGAGCACAAAAAUUAUUUUUACUUGCUUUUACUAGAAAAUAUUGAGUUUUUACAAUUUUAUUUACAAAAAUAUUUAGAUUCAUUUUCAUUUAAAAGAGUGAUUUUUUAUAAAUUAUUUAAAAUGACACAACUUUAUUUGCAAAAGAAAUUUUAAUUAAAAGGAAAAACAAAGAUUUAAAUUCUCUAUUUCUAAAAAACACUUUUAAUCUCGUUUUAAUUAAGGAAAAAAAAGAAUUCGUUUAAAAAAAAUAUUUUUAGACAAUUUUACUAAAAAUUAAUUUUUGGGACAUCUUUAUUUACAAAACAAUUUUUGGACAAUUUUUAUUAAACAAAGAAGUUUUUUUUAACAGUGUCAUUAAAAACAAUUUUUUUGGAUUUUUCUAAAUGUUUUUUUUUUUCUGAAUUUUCAUAAAAAAAACUUUCUUUUAUUAAAAAUGAUAUUUUGAAAUUAGUAUUUUAUUAGAACAUAUUUACUGAAUUCUUCCUCCCAUUUAAACAAAAUUUCUAAUUUGUUCGAUAUUCAAUUCUGUACACACUCAAUAAAUAUAAAUGAACAAAUAUUUACAAGAGUUAAUUAAAAUAAAACCAAAUAAAAGUGGUAAACAAAAUAUGUACCCAAACAAACUUACAACAAGCUCCACGUGUUAUCAAUUCGUACUCAGCCAACCAGAUUCCAGAAUGAGUCAAUGCAAAAGCAAAAACAGCGCAAAUGUAAAUAUCUAGAUAUGUAUAAAAUCCCAAACAAAUAUUCAAACCUAAAUCCCAAUUUCAAAUUAGUCCCAUAAAUUUUGUCAAUUUAAAAUGAGCCCAAAUUACUAUAGGUCUUAACGCGGAACAUCCAAAUUAAUAAUAAAAAAUACAAACAUAAUCAACCAAACUUAAAAUUUGAUAAAUUAAAAUAAAUUCUACUAGACCUAAAUUUAAUAUUUUAUAAUCUAAGUCUAAUUUAAUAUACACCACAAUUGUCCUAUGUCCAAAUUAAACAAUUCAAAUUGGCCAAGCCUAUAUCAAAUAUUCAAAUAAUCCAACAAAUCCCACCCAUAUUAUGGCCCCAAAAUCCACAUCAAUUAAUAAGUCCACAUAAAAAAAAAUACAUGAUCAAGAGCAUGGAUUGAAAAAUCGGAAAAUGUCGCCGAUAUUUCGUCGAAAUAUCGGUUAUCGGGCGGCAUGGAAACGAUAAACGGCACCGAUUAUCGAUCGACGGAAAAAUCGGCCAAAAAUCGACAAAAUCUCCGAUAUAUCGGCGAAAUAUCGGUGAAGCACCGAAAAAUUGGAGAAAAAUCGCGAUAUUUCCUACCAGUCCAGCCCGCGCAGUUGUGUUUUUCAGCCUGGCUCAAAAAUCGUGGAUUUAGGGUUCGUGAAAUUUAAAUCCAAUGGCACAACAGCAAAGAGACCCCUAAAACAGAUCCAGAAAACACAGGGAGCAAAAGAAAAGCAAUUUUUUUGGUUUUCUUUGGGAGUUUUGAAUGGAUUUUCUCGGAAAUCAAACGAGGAUGAAUUUUCCCGGAAAUCGAAUGGGGAUGGAUUUUCUUGGGAAUCAAAUGGGGGUUGCAAAAAAAAAAAAAAAUAAUAACAUGAUUAGAUUAGUACCUGCGAGGAUUGAGAUUUGAGAGUAGCAGAGGAAAAUAGGGCUUUUUAGGGAUUCUCUCGCUGGAAGACACCUUCAGAAAAGGGUUCUUGAUGCCCGAGAGAGAAGUGGGUGCCUUUUUUAUUUUUUUUUAUUUUUAGAUUUAGGGGAGAUAAAAAAAUAAAAAAUAAAAAAUAAAAAAAACAUGAGAACAAUUUUCUAUAAAUAAUUAUUAAUUUUCAACUUUUAUUUGGAUUAUUAAAUAAAUUUAUAUUAAUAAAAAAAGUUGUUAUCACAUUUUUUAAUAAAUUUUAAAAAUUAAAUCUCAAAUAAGAUAUUUUAUAUAAAUUAANNNNNNNNNNNNNNNNNNNNNNNNNNNNNNNNNNNNNNNNNNNNNNNNNNNNNNNNNNNNNNNNNNNNNNNNNNNNNNNNNNNNNNNNNNNNNNNNNNNNNNNNNNNNNNNNNNNNNNNNNNNNNNNNNNNNNNNNNNNNNNNNNNNNNNNNNNNNNNNNNNNNNNNNNNNNNNNNNNNNNNNNNNNNNNNNNNNNNNNNNNNNNNNNNNNNNNNNNNNNNNNNNNNNNNNNNNNNNNNNNNNNNNNNNNNNNNNNNNNNNNNNNNNNNNNNNNNNNNNNNNNNNNNNNNNNNNNNNNNNNNNNNNNNNNNNNNNNNNNNNNNNNNNNNNNNNNNNNNNNNNNNNNNNNNNNNNNNNNNNNNNNNNNNNNNNNNNNNNNNNNNNNNNNNNNNNNNNNNNNNNNNNNNNNNNNNNNNNNNNNNNNNNNNNNNNNNNNNNNNNNNNNNNNNNNNNNNNNNNNNNNNNNNNNNNNNNNNNNNNNNNNNNNNNNNNNNNNNNNNNNNNNNNNNNNNNNNNNNNNNNNNNNNNNNNNNNNNNNNNNNNNNNNNNNNNNNNNNNNNNNNNNNNNNNNNNNNNNNNNNNNNNNNNNNNNNNNNNNNNNNNNNNNNNNNNNNNNNNNNNNNNNNNNNNNNNNNNNNNNNNNNNNNNNNNNNNNNNNNNNNNNNNNNNNNNNNNNNNNNNNNNNNNNNNNNNNNNNNNNNNNNNNNNNNNNNNNNNNNNNNNNNNNNNNNNNNNNNNNNNNNNNNNNNNNNNNNNNNNNNNNNNNNNNNNNNNNNNNNNNNNNNNNNNNNNNNNNNNNNNNNNNNNNNNNNNNNNNNNNNNNNNNNNNNNNNNNNNNNNNNNNNNNNNNNNNNNNNNNNNNNNNNNNNNNNNNNNNNNNNNNNNNNNNNNNNNNNNNNNNNNNNNNNNNNNNNNNNNNNNNNNNNNNNNNNNNNNNNNNNNNNNNNNNNNNNNNNNNNNNNNNNNNNNNNNNNNNNNNNNNNNNNNNNNNNNNNNNNNNNNNNNNNNNNNNNNNNNNNNNNNNNNNNNNNNNNNNNNNNNNNNNNNNNNNNNNNNNNNNNNNNNNNNNNNNNNNNNNNNNNNNNNNNNNNNNNNNNNNNNNNNNNNNNNNNNNNNNNNNNNNNNNNNNNNNNNNNNNNNNNNNNNNNNNNNNNNNNNNNNNNNNNNNNNNNNNNNNNNNNNNNNNNNNNNNNNNNNNNNNNNNNNNNNNNNNNNNNNNNNNNNNNNNNNNNNNNNNNNNNNNNNNNNNNNNNNNNNNNNNNNNNNNNNNNNNNNNNNNNNNNNNNNNNNNNNNNNNNNNNNNNNNNNNNNNNNNNNNNNNNNNNNNNNNNNNNNNNNNNNNNNNNNNNNNNNNNNNNNNNNNNNNNNNNNNNNNNNNNNNNNNNNNNNNNNNNNNNNNNNNNNNNNNNNNNNNNNNNNNNNNNNNNNNNNNNNNNNNNNNNNNNNNNNNNNNNNNNNNNNNNNNNNNNNNNNNNNNNNNNNNNNNNNNNNNNNNNNNNNNNNNNNNNNNNNNNNNNNNNNNNNNNNNNNNNNNNNNNNNNNNNNNNNNNNNNNNNNNNNNNNNNNNNNNNNNNNNNNNNNNNNNNNNNNNNNNNNNNNNNNNNNNNNNNNNNNNNNNNNNNNNNNNNNNNNNNNNNNNNNNNUCCUCAUCAUCAAGUGAUAUCAUGACAAUUUCAAAGCUCUCCCCCUUUGCCCUUAAUUUCUCGUAAACAUCCACUAGCGUUGGAGUAAAUUCAAGGCAUGCCUUGUAGGAAGACAAUGAGAAAAACAGCCCAACGAACUUCCCUUCUAGUUCAGACACAGGCACCUUGUAUUGAAAUAGUUCAAGAAAAAAUUCAGACCAGGAAGAAACAAUAUAAAUCAUGUUCAAAUUCGUAGAUAUGAGAAUAUAUAUUUCUUAAAUAACUCACCUUCUUUCCAUCAGUUGAAAUUACAUAGUCACGGGACUGAGAGACUAAGAUGGAUCUCAAGGAUUGUUCCUUCCUGGCUGUUUCUUCCUUCUCUUUCAUUUCUUUGAUCUUUUCAGGAGUGAAAGGAUAAGCUUCCACUCCAUACUCUUGUAUGAUAUCAACCCCAUCUUCGCUCAAAACCUUGCCAGAUUCAUCAAGCAUCACAAGGUUUGGAAUCCCCAUCACCUUGAACAGUUCAUUCAACUGAUCUCGUGCAUCUGAAUCAGAAAAUGGGAUUGCGAGCCAAGGCAUCUUGGAGAAAUAUCCAUGGAACGACUCAUCAUCAUUAUCACCUGAAACAAAGAUGAUUUCAAAAUCAUCGUUGGAGGAGAGUUCAUUGUAGGCCUCAACUAAUUUAGGGGUGAACCGCCGACAUGGCCCACACCAUGAUGCUGAAAAAUAUAGCCAAAUUUUCUUCCCCUUCAAACUCUCAACUUUAACCUGCAAAACACAGAAUUUAGGCCCAUUAAACCCUUUGCUGCUCAAAACUGUUAACAAUAGUUACGACUCUUGGUUAAUUGGGUCCGGCUUCUUUUUCCCCCCUUAAUCAGAACCUGUUUCAGCUCCUUUUUCAUUAGAAACGCAUAGUUCCUUUCAAGCUUUCUUUUACGGUAGAAUAAAAACAGAGAAGAUGGGAAAUACCUGGUGGCCAUUGUUGCGGACAAGAAAGUCCCGAUCCUCUCUUGUGAGAAGCGAAACCAAAUCGUGAGCAACGCCAUCAACGUUUUCGCUAUCCAUGUCUUCUGAUUUUGAUCACAAAUUUUUAGCCUGUGCCUUUGCACUUUGGUGCCCAGCUUUUAUAGCAUCUAAGUCGAAUAGGAUUAAGCCAUCCAGCAGCCUUAAGAGUGAAGAAAACCAAAGUUGACGUUGGUGGUGUACGUCAGAUGCCCAACGUCAGAUGCCCAACGUCAGCGUGGGCCGCGGUCCCCUCUAGGGAAAAAGUUUAGAUAAGGAGAUAAGUAUUGAAGAAAGACGUGUUUUUUCAUCCGACCUCAUGAGCUUGUGUUCCUGAUGACAAAGACCCACAGUCCGUCUUUCACCUCAUUAGACCCCAUUAAAACAUAAACGAAAAGAAAAAACUGAGAAGCAUCUUGGAAGAUGCCCAUGAAAAGUGGCACGAACUUAUUUAAUUGCUCUCAUGGGUAAGAAUGAAAAGAUUUUUAGUUAUUAUUUUAUAGUUCUUUUACUCAAGUAAUUGAGCUUAGAUUGAGCAUAAUGCUCCGUACCUUGUUAGCAUAAAUUUUCAUUUCUUAAUAAUUAAACAAAGAUAUUUUCUGUUUGAAAAAACUUAAGCUUGAUCUAUGCAAGAACACAAACAUUUAAAGAUAUGACUCUGUUGGAUCAUAUAGAAUACACAUAUUUUACUGCCCUAGGUAAAUCUUUAUGAUCUAAGGAGGACUUCCGAGCAAAGUACCUUUCACUCGGCUUUGGUUGGAGCAAUGAGUGGUCAGGGAAAGUUGAUGGAAUCUCACAUCUCUCCUUGACCUAUAGUUGGUUUUGACAAUGAACCUUGGAUGGAAAGUUUUGGUAUAAAAGUUAAAAACAUCAUCUUGCCAGCGCAUCCUUUCCUGGUGGGGAAUUGAACCUGGACUCAUGGUUAACAAAAUGAGUAGUACACCACUAUGCCAAACAACAUUUAAUUAAUAAUUUGGUAAAUAUCUAUAGAUCUGUUUUUUUAAAUUUUUAUCACAUAAAACAUUUAAACAAAUAUAAAUAUUUAUAUCUACUAUUAUUUUUAUAAUAAUGAUUAAUUAUAAGCAUGAAAAUAAUAUAAAUUAAUCAAUAUAAUAAUUUAUUAAAAUAUAAAUUAUAUAUUUAUGAUGUUACUUAUUUGACCGUGAUUUGACCAUUACUUCAAUCAGUGAACUGAUAACUUUUUCGAUUCAAUGUUCAGUCUGAUUUUGAAAACAUUGAGAAAAAACUCACUCUUAUGGAUUUUUUAUCACCUUACUUUAUUUAUUUUUUCUUAUUUUUAGUUUUAGGAGUAGGAGUAGGAUUAACUUAGUUUAGUUUAAUUUUAGUUUCAGUUGUAAUAUUUAAUUUUUAUAUAAUCUUUCAUUAUUAAUUUUCAUAGUAAUGAGCUUUUAAUUUUUAGUUAAUUUCAAUUUCAAAGUUUAGUUUUAAUUUCUAGCUUUCUUAUGGUUUGAGUUUCUAGAAAUUUUAUUUCUUUGCACCUUUACUUUCUUCUAGACUUUACAUUUCUUUCUUGUCUUCAAUUUCAUCACGUUUAGCACCAAGGGAUAAGUGUGUAGACCCCUUAAAAGACUAAGGGUUUUUCCAGUUGGUUUUUGGGACCACUCGGGUGAUUUUUUUUGAAGUGAGGAGGGGACCCCUUUUCUAUAAAUUCUUUUUGUGAUAAGUAAACCCUUCCUUACUAAGUUGUGGCUCAUCACUUUUAUAAAAAUGGUUUUCUACAAACCAAAUUGGAAAAGAGCAUGUUGAGGUUGUGCUCUAGUUUAGGAUAAAAAAGACUGUAUAUUUUAUAUAUAGAAGUUUGAUGAUGGAAGAGUUUUGUAAUAUGUAAAGAUGUAUCUAAACACUUGAAUGGGCGUAUAGUGUUUAAUAGAAUGAAUAAAAAUGCAAGUUUUAGUAUUUUUGGUUUGGAAAUGUUUUGAUUAUUUUUGGGUAUUCAAAUAUAUAGAUUUAAUUUACUUAUGGUAGUACAAAAAUCAUUUAAUGGUGUUAAGGGGUUUUUAAUGGAGAAAAAACUAAGUUUUAGAUAAUUGAAAAGCACUAAGGUGGUGUUUGUUUUUUGGCUGAAUAGAAAAGGCCAAAUAUUUUGGCUUUUUCUAUUCAGCUAAAAGUAAUUUGUUGACAUCAUCCAACAUAACUAAAGUGAAUUUAUUAUUAAUAGGUUCAGUUUAGUUAUAUUGGAUGGUAUCAAUAAAUUACUUUUAACUGAAUAGAAAAAGCCAAAUAUUUUAGCUUUUUCUAUUCAGCCAAAAAACAAACACCACCUAAGUUAAAAACAAGGGAGAAAAUAGUGCAAGUAAGCUUGGGUAUGGGUGCAUUAAUUGAAGGUGCACAAAGUUAUUUUAUUUUUGAGGUUGAAAAAUAUGCAUUGUUUAAAUUGGAGUGUGCUAGAGAGAUGCACAAUAUUAUUUGGAGGUGUGUUGUGAUUGAAGUACACAAUUUGUGGUUUAUUUAAAAGUGCACUAUUGAAGUGCAAAGGAGAGGUACACAAUUUGAUUUUGAGGUGUGCUAUUUUGAGAAGUGUGUUAUUUGAGUUUAGUUGAAGAUGCAUUAUUUAAGUUACAAGUGUGUAUAAUAGGUGUGCUAUUUUAAUUUGGGGAGGUGCACUAAUGCAAUUUGAGUGUGCUAUUGGACAUUGACACACAAUUUAGAGACUCAAUGCACCAUUGGUGAUCUAGGUGUGCAGGUUGGUUAAGUGUGCUAUGUUAUGCGCUGUGUUAGAGGCAUGUUAAGUGCACUAUGUGUGAUCUAGGUGCACAGGUUGGUUAAAUGCAUUAUGUGGUGUGCUAUAUUGGAAGUGCGCUAUGUGGUGUACUCUGUUGGAGGUGCAUUAAGUGCACUAUUUGGGGUGUGUUGUGUGGUGUUUAUUUAUUCUGUCUAUGGUGUUUAUUUACUUUGUCUUUUGCUUAUUUAUAUUUACAUUGUAAAUAUUUAAAUGAUUGUUCAUUUACUUUAAAUUUAUAAUAUAAAUAACAAAAUACCCAUCAUUUGAAUCCUGUAAAAAUACUUUCAAAAUCUAGUUCUAAGUAAAUUAAAAUUUGAUUUUCCAUUUUUAGUUAUAAAUUGACAAACUUUAUUGAAUUUCUUUGAAAAAAAAAAGUUUGCUUAGGUAAAUUACUAAAAAUUAAAAACUUAGAAAAAAUUAUUUUGAGUAUCACCAACAUGAAAACAAAAAAUUAUGUCACUUUUUAUCUUAAAUGUUGAAACUUUUAAAAAUGGCUUAUUUUUCAUACUCGGUGAAAGUUUUGCACAACUAAGACAACAUACAAGACACAUUUGAAAGCUCUCUACUAGACAAUGUUAUCUAAACUGUAAAAGUAAAAUUUUUAAAUCUAGAAAUUGCAAAAUAAAGUAUUCUUUUAUUGUUAUCAUUUAGACAUAUAUAUAUAUAUAUAUAUAUAUUUAAGUAGUUGUUAUUUGUACAUUAGAAUUAAAAUUUUUGAAUAUGAAAAUAAAUGAUUAAUCCACCAUAUUCGACAUAUUAUAUUAUGAUUCUUUAAUUCACAUUUCAAAUUUUAGAGUUAUGGGUUAACCCCGUUGUAUUAUAAUUAAACUAUUGUUUUAGAAAUUGGGGUGUAACAACACAAUAGGUACAAAGUUGAUAGAACUUAUAACCAAAUGUUUUAUAUAAAUUAUAGAAACCUUGAUUGAGAGGGCUUCCUUGAAAGAUAGUAAAUUCACUUCUCAUCUUGAUUGAAUGUGAAAUUGCUAUCUUAAAUAGAUGAAAUAUGAAGCAACUAAAAUAAGGAUAAGUAAACAAAGGAAGUUGAUUUAAAACAGAUUAAGACGAAGAUAAAAAUUAUUGGAAGUACUAGGUAUUAUGGCUUUAUUAAAAGCUCUCAAAAGAAUUACACAUCCAAAUACAUAUAUAAAAGAAAGUUGCUCAGUGAGAUGCCUUAUGGCUUUCUCUCUAUUACCAAAUCUACCUCAAGAGUUGGGUAUUCAUACGUCUUACCUUAAAAAACAAAAAAUCCAAUAAGUAGUUAUGAUGCCAAAGUCUAAGGAUAAUAUCUUUACAGUAAAAAUAAUUUUAAACAAAGUUUAAUAAUAAACUUGACUUGAGAAAACUUUAUAUAAACCAUGAUAACAUACUUGAAAUAUUUUAAUAGAAACAUGGAAUUAACAGUUAUAUAUAUGUUUGCACUCAUAUGAAUUAUGAAAAUGUAUUAUCCCUCAUGCUCCUCAAUUUGUUCAUAUCAUAACUAGUUAAUUUGAAAUAAUCAACUACUAUGACACACAUCCAUUUCAACAUGAUUAUUAGAUAAAUAGAAAUAAUUACUACAAUUCCUCUCUAUCUCACAACUUGAAGAUCUAUGUAGAAAAAAAAAAAGCAAGAUAACAUUUCAUGUAAAUUUGUUUAUAUUUCAUAAUAACUAUAAUUUGUAAUCAUGGUAAAAUAAUAUCCUCAAAAUAGACUGUUGUACAACAUAGGUUAAUCCCAUUAUAUAAAGAACUUUCCAUUGGGUGUAUAGAUAGUGCUUAUUAGUCUUUAAAUAGCAAACACUGAGGGAUUGUCUAGUUGGCAUUUUUGAAAACAGUUUUGGAAAACAGUUUUUAAGAACGGUUUUUAAGAAUAGAUUUUUGUGUUUUCAGAAACAAAAUUAUGUUUGACAACUAAAUUUUGAAAAAUUUAAAAAAAAAAUGUUUGAUUGAGUUAAUAAAAACAAUUUUUCGAAAUAAGUAAAAAAAAAAAAGUUGUAUUUUUUUUAAUUAAGUUUUUUUUCCAAUAAACUUAACAUUGUAAAUAUAUAAAUAUUUUUUUCACUUACUUUUUUUCUCAUCUUUUGAGUAUUCAUUGGAUAACUCUCCCUUCAUAUCACCUUUCUUAGUCUGAAAAAUAGAGCCACUUCUCUAUAUGUUUUUCAUAAUCCCUCAAAAUAGUCAUGUUUUUCUCUGUUAAUAUAAAGAACAUGUCAUCAUUGUCAUCAUCAAUUGCGACAAGCAAGUUUGCAAUGAUGUUGCAUCAAAACAAAUAUAAGAUCACACUUAUUCUCAUCUAUGAUGUUCUUGAAUGGAUUUUGAUCAUUCUUCUAACUUGCAAAAUUUUAAAAGAAGUAAAGUUUUAAAUUCAAAAAUUGUAAAAUAAAGUAUUCUGCUAUUGUUAUUAUUUGGAAAUAUAUAUUUAAAUAAAAAAAAUUGGUCGUUACUUGUACAUUAAAAUUAAAAUUUUUGAAUAUGAAAAUAAAUGAUUAACUUACCAUAUUACACACAUUGUAUUAUUAUCCUUUAAUUUACAUUUCAAAUUCUAGACUUAUGGGUUAAUCUCAUUGUAUGAUAACUAAAUCAUAGUUUAUGAAAUUGGGAUGUGAUAGCACCAUAGGUACACAGUUGACAGAACCUAUAACCAAACACUUGAUAUCAAUUAUAGUAACCUCGAAUAAAAGGACUUCCUAGAAAGAUGGUGAGUUGGCUUCUCAUCUUAAUAGAUGAUGAAAUCGCUAUCUCAAAUAAGUAAAAUAUAUAGCCACUAAGACAAUGAUAGACAAGGGAAGUUGAUUUAGAAAAAUAUAACGAUUAAGAUAAAAGUAUUGGAAGUACUAGGUCAAAAGAAUUACAUUUCUAAAAACAUAUAUAGAAGAAAGUUGCUCAGCUGGAUGCCCUAUGACUUGCCCUCUAUUAUCGAGUCUACCUUAAGCGGUAGGCAAUCAAACUUCUCACCUAAAAAACAUUAGAGAGUUAUGAUGUGAAAGUUUAAGGAUAAUAUCUUUACAAUAAAAAUAUUUUUAAAUAAAAUUUAACAACAAACUUAACUAUAGAAAGCCUUAUAUGAACUAUGAUAACAUUCUUGAAAUAUUUUAAUAGAAACAUACAAUCAACAUCAAUAUAAAUGUUUGCAAUCACAUGAAUUAUGGAAAUGUAUUAUCAAUUGUGCUCCUUAAUCUGAUCAUAUCACAACUAGUUAAAUUGAAAUAAUAAGUUGCUAUGACACCCAUCCAUUUCAACAUGAUUAUCAAAUAAAUAAGACAUAAUAAUUACCACAAUGACUAUCUCACAACAUAAAGAUCUAUGUAGAAAAAAUAAAAGGGCAAGAUAACAUUUCAUGUAAAUUUGUUCAUAUUUCAUAAUAACCAUAAUUCAUAAUCAUGGUAAAAUAAUAUCUUCAAAAUGGACUAUUGUACUAUUGGGAUUGAACCUCUAAAAACAAAACAUGAUGUAAUAAAGUUAGACUUCACUAUCACUAGGCUAUUCAUUUUCUUUCAUUAACAUUGACUUGCAUGUAUUAGAAGUUGUAUGGAUGAUACAAAUCAUGGGUUCUUUGUAAGUAGAUAAGUUGUUCAUAGCUAGUUCAUGGAUUUAGAGUAUAAUAAAGGCAUAGUGUACUAGCUCAUAAUUGGAAGAAUGACUUGUCUUGGCCAUUAGGAUGUAUUUCCCAUGGUGAGUGUACUAGUGUAUGUCAUACAUAUUGAAUAAGAUUUAUAGUGAAUUAUGAUAUAAGGCUAUCGAUUGUCAUGAUUCACCAAAUUACUAUACUACAUGGACUCUCAACCUUAAGAGGAUAUUAAGCCUAUGCUAAAGUCAAUAGGAGGCUUUGGCCUAUGGAUGGGUGUAGACUCUCUAUUUUGUCUUCUUAGCAUAUUCCAUCUAGGAUUGCCUUCUUACAUCCUUUGAUGUCCUAUUGUACACUUAUGGUAAUUUUCUGAGCUAUUUUUUCCUCUUAAUUUUGUGUGGCAUGAAGAUUAACCAUUAACCUUUAUAUAUUUAAUUUUUUUAGAUAAUAGUGGAUCAUUGAAAUAUUUAUUUACAUUUUUUGUGAGGUCAUAAGAAAUGAAGGUUGGCGAGGACUAUACAACAAACUUAAGUCUUCCUUGCUUGGAAUUGUUGCUUCAUAGGUGAACAAAAUGAUCAUUAUGGUUUCUCAUGUUGGCUAUGGAACAUGGAUCAAAAGGAGAGUCAAAUUUGGAUAUCAUCAUCACCAUACAUUUGGAGAAGGUAGAUGACUUCAGCUAGGAGGAUCAUGUGGCAUUAAAGGCUUCUCCAUUAUGCCAUCACAUGUCAACCAUGAAAGAAGAUUCCAUUAUGAGGCAUCAGCUAGGGUCACCUGUAUUCAUUUCGGGUGUACAUCACAGCCUCACAAGAUCUUUAUUAAGAGGUUUUAGAAAUCUCCAAGAGCUUCAGAAUGAUCAAGGAAGAGUCACACAAUUGGAGUGGAUGAAGUCGUGCAUUUGGAGAGAGUUCUUGGGAGCAUGCACUUGGACCAUUUCUUGGAUUUUUGGAGGGAAACUACAACUGUCUUGAGAAGAUUUUGGAGGUUUCAUUUCUUGUUAGAGAAGGAUAAUGAAUUGAACACUUUUUUUCUAGGGUUCCAGGAGGAUUAAGGGCUUCUAAUAAUCGUCUAGCUCUAUAGCUUACCAUCUUCACACCAACAUUUUUAAGGAAGAUCUCCAUUGAUGCAUAUUGGUUCUGGAAAGCUUCAACAAAGAAUGUGUCAUUCUUUGUAAUAGUGAGCACCAUUUUUUUCAUAGAUGAACAUCACAUACAUCUCAAUAUUGACAUUGAUAAGAGAAUCAUCAGAGAUGUCAUAGCUCAAGAUCAUGAAUUUCUACAUUGAAUCAUCACCGUUACGCGAUGACAAUUAGAGAAGGCAAUUACCGAGCUUGGGAGAAAAUUAUAUUUGCUUCUUCUAAAAACUUGUCACGCCUCGAAUUCUUGGGAACCCAACAUUUGACUCGUGACCCCAAGUCAAAGGUUUGGCCCUAAGGGUUACUCCUAUCCAUGUUGAUAGUCAAUUAUGAUAACUUGAUUUUUCUUGAAUAAAUAAACAUCUAAUCCCAAAUAAAUUUAUUAAGAUUUACUAUAUGAUUUUUUUUUUUCCAAAACCAACCAUCACAUUGCACACAUUGCCUUCGUGGGUGGUGAUUAUAAGUGAAAGAAUAUGAUGCUUAAGGGAAAUAAUAGUUUCCACAUUGCACACAAAGGAAUAUAAAGUAGCUUGGGAGGAUAUUUGGUCAAGGUGUUGUAGAACAUUUUCGGUUAUUAGUAAUGAAAUUAUGGCGAGGGACACCUUAUUAAUAUAUGAUAUUAAUUAGAAUGAAGUUGACAAUUAUUUCAUUAUUCACUUCCUUGAGUUGAAAAGCUUUUGCCUAUCUAGAAGUGUGAUCUAUAACCACCAAUAGUAUGUGAAAUUAUGAAAUUCAAAUUUCAUUUUUAAAUAUAUAGAAGAUAUAACUUUUACCCUUUUAUUUGGUUGUUGACUUGGAAAUAGCUCUAAAAUGCGAUGUUCUUUUGUUUUUUGGUGUUAUUUUAAAGCUUUAAUUUCAUUUUAUUAAUUAUAGUCAAUUGAUUAAUUAAGUAAAUGAAUGUUAUAAAUUUAUAUAUUGAUAUAUUUGAAAAAGUUACAAAAUUCUAGUUAAAUGGAUGUUAUUAAUAGAUUUUUAUUUAUUAGUAUAGAUUUAUUUGUAAAAUGUUUAGGGAAUUGAUGGAUCUUAACUGUAUAUAAUGCUUAUUAACCCGAUAAACUUGAAAACAUAUUUACUAAUUUAAACCUUACCCUAGUUUAAUAGAAUGAGCUUAAAUGGGUUUGGAUUGACCAACUUGGGUUGAAUAUCAAGUUGGGUUGUACUUCGAUAAAUGAAUUUCAUUUAUGGGUUGAGUUUGGGCUUUAAUCAUCAACCCAAUCCGAUAGCCCAAAUUGUAUCUUUAGAUAAUAAAAAAUUCAUGAUGUUUGUUAUUUUUUAUAAUGUAUACUACAUGCAAUAUAGUAUCUCAAAUAAGUUAUAUUUUCAAAUUUUUCUUUAAAUAAAAAAAAUUGGUCAUUACUUGUACAUUAAAAUUAAAAUUUUUUAAUAUGAAAAUAAAUGAUUAACUUACCAUAUUACAUACAUUAUAUUAUUAUCCUUUAAUUUACAUUUCAAAUUCUAGACUUAUGGGUUAAUCCCAUUGUAUGAUAACUAAAUCAUAGUUUAAGAAAUUGGGGUGUGAUAGCACCAUAGGUACAAAGUUGACAAAACCUAUAACCAAACACUUGAUAUCAAUUAUAGUAACCUCGAAUAAAAGGACUUCCUAGAAAGAUGGUGAGUUGGCUUCUCAUCUUGAUAGAUGGUGAAAUCGCUAUCUCAAAUAGGUAAAAUAUAUAGCCACUAAGACAAUGAUAGACAAAGGAGGUUGAUUCAGAAAAAUAUAAAGACUAAGAUAAAAGUUUUUGAAGUACUAGAUCAAAAGAAUUACAUUUCUAAAAACAUAUAUAGAAGAAAGUUGCUCAGUUGGAUGCCCUAUGGCUUGCCCUCUAUUAUCGAGUCUACUUUAAGCGGUAGGCAAUCGAACUUCUCACCUAAAAAACAUGUGAGAGUUACGAUGCAAAAGUCUAAGGAUAAUAUCUUUACAAUAAAAAUAUUUUUAAAUAAAAUUUAACAACAAAGUUAACUUGAGAAAGCCUUAUAUGAACUAUGAUAACAUCCUUGAAAUAUUUUAAUAGAAACAUACAAUCAACAUCAAUAUAAAUGUUUGCAAUCACAUGAAUUAUGGAAAUGUAUUAUCAAUUGUGCUCCUUAAUCUGAUCAUAUCACAACUAGUUAAAUUGAAAUAAUCAGCUGCUAUGACACCCAUCCUUUCAACAUGAUUAUCAAAUAAAUAGACAUGAUAAUUACCACAAUGACUAUCUCACGACAUAAAGAUCUAUGUAGAAAAAAUAAAAGGGCAAGAUAACAUUUCAUAUAAAUUUGUUCAUAUUUCAUAAUAACCAUAAUUCGUAAUCAUGGUAAAAAUAAUAUCUUCAAAAUGGACUAUUGUACUAUUGGGAUUGAACCUCUAAAAACAAAACAUGAUGUAAUAAAGUUAGACUUCACUAUCACUAGGCUAUUCAUUUUCUUUCAUUAACAUUGACUUGGAUGUAUUAGAAGUUGUAUGGAUGAUACAAAUCAUGGGUUUUUUGUAAGUAGAUAAGUUGUUCAUAACAAGUUCAUGGAUUUAUGCUGUAUAAUAAAGGCAUAGUGUACUAGCUCAUAAUUGGAAGAAUGACUUGUUUUGGCCAUUAGGAUGUAUUUCCUAUGGUGAGUGUACUAGUGUAUGUGAUACAUAUUGAAUAAGAUCUAUAGUGAAUUAUGAUAUAAGACAAUUGAUUGUCAUGAUUCACCAAAUUACUAUACUACAUGAACUCUCAACCUUAAGAGGAUAUGCUAAAGUCAAUAGGAGACUUUGGCCUAUGGAUGGGUGUAGACUCUCUAUUUUGUCCUCUUAGCAUAUUCCAUCUAGGAUUGCCUUCUUACAUCCUUUGAUGUCCUAUUGUACACUUAUGGUAAUUUUCUGAGCUAUUUUUUCCUCUUAAUUUUGUGUGGCAUGAAGAUUAACCAUUGAACUUUAUAUAUUUAAUUUUUUUUAGAUAAUAGUGGAUCAUUGAAAUAUUUAUUUACAUUUUUUGUGAGGUCAUAAGAAAUGAAGGUUGGUGAGGACUAUACAACAAACUUAAGUCUUUCUUGCUUGGAAUUGCUGCUUCAUGGGUGACUAACAAAAGGAUCAUUAUGGUUUCUCAUGCUGGCUGUGGAACAUGGAUCAAAAGGAUAGUUAAAUUUGGAAAUCAUCAUCACCAUACAUUUGGAGAAGGGAGAGGACUUCAGCUAGGAGGAUCAUGUGGCAUUAAAGGCUUCUCCAUUAUGCCAUCACAUGUCAACCAUGAAAGAAGAUUCCAUUAUGAGGCAUCAACUAGGGUCACUUGCAUUCAUUUUGGGUGUACAUCACAGCCUCACAAGAUCUUUAUUAAGAGGUUUUAGAAAUCUCUAGGAGCUUCAGAAUGAUCAAGGAAGAGUCACACAAUUGGAGUGGAUGAGGUCGUGCAUCUAGAGAGAGUUCUUGGGAACAUGCAUUUAGACCAUUUCUUGGAUUUUUGGAGGGAAACUACAACUGUCUUGAGAAGAUUUUAGAGGUUUCAUUUCUUGUUAGAGAAGGAUAAUGAAUUGAACACUUUUUUUCUAGGGUUCUAGGAGGAUUAAGGGCUUCUAAUAAUCGUCUAGCUCUAUAGCUUACCAUCUUCACACCAACAUUUUUAAGGAAGAUCUCCAUUGAUGCAUAUUGGUUCUAGAGAGCUUCAACAAAGAAUGUGUCAUUCUUUAUAACAGUGAGCACCAUUUUUUUCAUAGAUGAACAUCACAUACAUCUCAAUAUUGACAUUGAUAAGAGAAUCAUCAGAGAUGUCAUAGCUCGAGAUCAUGAAUUUCUACAUUGAAUCAUCACCAUUACGCGAUGACAAUUAGAGAAAGUGAUUACCGAUCUUGGGAGAAAAUUAUAUCUGCUUUUUCUAAAAACUUGUUACGCCUCGAAUUCUUGGGAACCCAACAUUUGACUCGUGACCCCAAGGGUUACUCCUAUUCAUGUUGAUAGUUAAUUAUGGUAACUUGAUUUUUCUUGAAUAAAUAAACAUCUAAUCCUAAAUAAAUUUAUUAAGAUUUACUAUAUGAUUUUUUUUUCCAAAACCAACCAUCACAUUACACACAUUGCCUUUGUGGGUGGUGAUUAUAAGUGAAAGAAUAUGAUGUUUAAGGGAAAUAAUAGUUUCCACAUUGCACACAAAGGAAUAUAAAGUAGCUUGGGAGGAUAUUUGGUCAAGGUGUUGUAGAACAUUUUCGGUUAUUAGUAAUGAAAUUAUGGCGAAGGACACCUUAUUAAUAUAUGAUAUUAAUUAGAAUGAAGUUGAAAAUUAUUUCAUUAUUCACUUCCUUGAGCUGCAAAGCUUUUGUCUAUCUAGAAGUGUGAUCUAUAACCACCAAUAGUAUGUGAAAUUAUGAAAUUCAAAUUUCAUUUUUAAAUAUAUAGAAGAUAUAACUUUUACCCUUUUAUUUGGUUGUUGACUUGGAAAUAGCUCUAAAACGCGAUGUUCUUUUCUUUUUUGGUGUUAUUUUAAAGCUUUAAUUUCAUUUUAUUAAUUAUAGCCAAAUGAUUAAUUAAGUAAAUGAACGUUAUAAAUUUAUAUAUUGAUAUAUUUGAAAAAGUUACAAAAUUCUAGUUAAAUGGAUGCUAUUAAUAGAUUUUUAUUUAUUAGUAUAGAUUUAUUUGUAAAAUGUUUAGGGAAUUGAUGGAUCUUAACUGUAUAUAAUGCUUAUUAACCCAAUAAACUUGAAAACAUAUUUACUAAUUUAAACCUUACCCUAGUUUAAUAGAAUGAGCUUAAAUGGGUUUGGAUUGACCAAUUUGAGUUGAAUAUCAAGUUGGGUUGUACUUCAAUAAAUGAAUUUCAUUUAUGGGUUGAGUUUGGGCUUUAAUAAUCAACCCAAUCCGAUAGCCCAACUUGUAUCUUUAGAUAAUAAAAAAUUCAUGAUGUUUAUUAUUUUUUAUAAUGUAUACUACAUGCAAUGUAGUAUCUCAAAUAAGUUAUAUAUAUAUAUAUAUAUAUUAUUGUGAAAUGUGCUUGCAAAUAAAAUUAUAGGAAAACGUAUUAUGUGUGCAUUGCAUAUAUUAUAUGUAGUGUUGUUAAUAUUAUCUAUCCAAAAAAAAUUACAAUUUAUUUUUAGGGUUAUUUGUUUAAAAGUGCCAAAAUAAGGUGGUAUUUGGAAAAAUGACCUCUAUCUUUUUAAAACCUGAAAAAUAACCCCUUUUGGACUAAAUUACCCCUGAAAAAAAAAAAACCUUUGAAAUUCAAAAGAGCAAAAAGGAAGAGAAAUUCAAAAGAACAUAAAGGAAGAGAAAGAGAACGAACCAAGGGUUCUCCCUUGAAUGGUAGACUACUGCACACUCUAUGGUCUUCUGAUAUUUUUUUUUUUGUUUUUUUUGUUUUUUUUUUGCAGAUUUGCAUAUUGUUGUUUAUUAUCUGUGUAAAAAGAUUCUAAAAGGAUAUUCAUUUGAUUGAAGUGUGAAUUUUUUUUCUCCAGUUUAUCGAAAAACGCGGGAAAUGAAGAGAACGAAAUGAAGUGGAAAAGAACAGAAAAUGAUCUUGAAAAAAAGAAAAACCUUUGAAAUUCAAAAGAACGGAAAGGAAGAGAAAGAGAACGAACCAAGGGUUCUCUCUUGAAUGGUAGACUGCAACACACUCUAUGGUCUUUUGAUUUUGAUUUUAAUUUUUUUGUGCAAAUUUGCGUGUUGUUGUUGAUUAUCUAUGUAAAAGGAUUGUAAAAGGUUAUUCAUUUGAUUGAAGUGUGAAUUUUUUUUCUCCCGUUUUUGAAAAAACACGAGAAAGAAAAAGAACGAAGUGAAAGAGAACCGAAAAGGAUAUUGAAAAGUAUGUUUAUUACUUUGAAAUAGUUUGUUUUUUUAGAUUAUUCUCUUUGUUCAUUUCAUACAUUCGCUUAAGGUGUGUGUUUUCUUUCUGCAUGGUUUUAGAAAAAAUGUGGGAGAAAGUAAUGGGUUUAUACAUUCACUUUUUGUUAAGCAUAAAUAUAAGGGUUUUUCUUAAAUUUGUUAGCUUAUUCCUCUUUGAUUUUGAACUUUGAAAAUACAUUAGUCUACCAAAGAAGAUAUCUAGUUGAAUUGAAAAAAAAAAAAGUCUUUAAUUAGAUUUCUUUGCUAUUUUAUUUUGAUGUUUUGCUCUAGUUGUUAAGAUUUUGAAGCAUGAUGUUAUGGCAAAUGCUCUGUUUCUAUAGUGUAGAAAUCUAGUAGAAAAGUGACAAAUGUGUUGACCAAUUUGGUCUUCUAAAGAGUUGAAUCAUAAUCAGAGAAAUAAAAUUUGCCCCCAUUUUGAUAUCUCAUCCCUGGUGAUUGGAAGAAACAUUUCAUUUGUCCCAUAGGAAAAUGAAUUUGUUUCCUUAAACCCCCUAGGUAGAGAUAUUGAAGAUGUUGCUGAAGUAUUUUUCCAUGAGCAGUGUUGAAAGAAUGGUUUUGAUUUCUUUUCCAAAAUUCAAAACCUUUUUUUAGAGUAGUUUUGGCUUCUAUCAUAAAGUGAAAACAAUACUUCUUCUAUGAGCAUUCAUGUUAGUUAUUCUCCUUUUGUGUUGCUUAACUUUUAAGUAAUGGAACCAAUAUGAUAUACAUGAAUAGUCAUUCUUUUCUAUUAAUGACAAAAUUGGAGAUCAUUGUAGUCUUUUCCAAUUGGGUGUCUAGUUUUUUAGCAGUUUGGGAAAAAAAAUAUUUUCCUAUUUGUAGUUAUUUUCCCAAUGGAUAGGAAGUUGGUUUAACUGAAAAUCUCAAUUUUCAUCAAACAAUUUGCAUAUCUUGCCUAUCUAUAGUUUCCAUUUUGCUUGAAUAGAUUGAGAAUAAAUCUUUGUUUUCCCUUGGAUGUGAACCAACAUUAACAAACACCCCAUCAAGGUCUAAACCUAUUUUGCUUUUACUAGAUCAUAAGUGACAUUUGCUAAAUUUGGGACCUAGUUGGUCCUGCAAUGCAAACCACAACAUUGAAAUAGUAAUCUCUAACAAAAGUCAUGACAAAGAAUGAUCCUAACUAAGAACUGAAAUAUUAUUCAUAACUAAAAUAUUGAGUUAGAUGAUGCAUAUGCAUAGCCAAAAUACUUCUACCAUAUGCUUUCUAUAAGUAAGGAUGGUCCUUUAACAUUGCUAACAUCACAUUUUUUGUGUUCAUGCAGUGGUGAUUGUGGUAUUUUUUUUUUAUCAAAUUUGUAGAAUACCUGAUGCACAACCAUCCAAUGGAUACACUAAUAGGCAAGCGAAUGGAUUAGUUUCAUGAGAAGAUGACAAUGGAGUUAUUUUUGCAUAAAGAACUUCCUAUGUGAUCCUACUAUUGUAAAUGGAUUGUAAUUGGAUAGCGGAAGAUGUUUUUAUGUAAUGACAUUGAAGUUUUUUGUUUAGCAAAUUCCUAUAUUAUAGCAUGUAUUUAAAUAGUUACAUGUUUUUCAUACAUCCAAAGAAAUGAAUGGUUGCAAUUUUUUUUUUUUUAUAAAUGUGACUGUGUUAUGAUUGUUAACAGGUUUGAAUUUAUUGUAGUAAGCAUAAUAAUAGAAACUUAUAUUUCAAUGUAGAGCUCAUAUUUUUUUUGCUCAAACUUAAUGAGUGUUAAGUUACUUGUAAAAUAAACUUAACCCUAGUGCAGUUCAGGUGAACAUCCUCAAUUAAAACUUAACUCCUACUAAGUUAUUUAUUAAAAAAACUUAACUACAGUUAAGUUCAGGACAUUUGUUUUAAUUCAAACUUAAUGAGUGUUAAGUUACUUGUAAAUUAGACUUAACCCUAGUGCCGCUCAAGUGUAUAUCCUCAAUUAAAACUUAACUCCUAUCAAGUUCUUUAUUAAAAAAACUUAACUUUAGUUUCGUUCAGGUAUUUUUUUUUUUAACUGAAACUUAACCACUAUUAAGUUCUUUGGAAAAUAAACUUAACCCUACUAUAGUUUAGUUGAAUAUCCUCAAUUAAAACUUAACUCUUACUAAGUUCUUUAAUAAAAAAACUUAACUUCACUUUCAUUCAGGUAAGUUUUUAUAACUUAAACUUAACCAUUGUUAAGUUCUUUGUAAAAGAAACUUAACCCUAGUGCAGUUUAGGUGAAUAUCCUCAAUUAAAGUUAUAUAUAUGAAUGAUCUCAACAUACAUAAUGUGUCUGAUCUUAACAUCAAUAAAAGAUUAAAACAUCUCCAAAUAUGUAUGAUCAAAUACUAACGAGACUAGUAUUCCAAAAAAAUAAAGAGUUCACUUGUCAUUUUGAAUGAGUUGGUAUUGAGGAAUGAACUUAAACCUCAUUUUUAAGUUUUAAGUUCAUCAUUCAAUUAAAAAAGACUGAAUCAAAGUACGAUUACAUGUUUUGUGCCCCAAUUCACAAUAUACAAAAAAAAUUACAAUAUCAAAUCUUUUAUAUGCCCAAUCAUCAUUUACAAAAAACAAAAAAAAAAUGACCAUAAAGUUGGCUUAGUGAUAGUUUUAUUCAUUCUUUGAUUGUAAGAGCAAUCUUGCAUGCCUAUUUCAGUGUGUCCACUAUUAUCAUUCUGAUAAUGCAGGGGGGUGGUCAUUUGCAUGACUUUCGAUUAUGACCAUAAUCACCACAUCGACCACACCGCCAUCUAUGCUUACCCUCUCUACCCGAAGGGAUUCUUUCCUUCCUUGGUCUUCCUGUUGGCCGCCUUGUUUUCGGUGGUAAUACAACUCUACUGCUUAUAUCAUCAGAUAUCAUCCAAUCCCUUUGAUGUCUAGGAGGAUAGAUGGACUCAGCAUAUGAAGAUAAUAAUGAGUUCAUUGUGUAAUAUUUGGAGCAUAAAGGAUAACAUGACAUAUGUGCAUAUCUACAAGCAACAAUAGCAUUUGAACAAGGUAUGUGAUCAAGAUCAAAAUGUCGACAUGUGCAUGAAUGAUUAUGUAAAUUUACAUGAUCAUUGACACCAUUAUAUUUAACAUUAUACUCCUUUGAGUUGACUGCUUCAACUUCAUAUGUUGAUGUUGUAUUGUACCUUACACGAAGCUCUCCAUCAGCUCAUGUUGUUAGCUCAAUUGUCAUUGACAAUGCUUGUUGUUUACGGUUUGCAAACCAUUUUUGAAGUAAAUAUCUUAACUCUUCAAUUAACUGCAAAAUAGGAAGAUCUCUUGCAUCUCUUGAAUAUUGGGUCCAUAUUGAUUUCUUUCUCAACCCCAGAUAAAGUAUGAGAGCCAAAAUUAGUGUUGAUGAUUGAUUCAUACCCAUGAUUGCCACUUAUUUUCUUUAUUGUGAUAUAUAAUGGAACUGGCAACUUACCAUCAGUUCAAUUUAAACGAAUAAAAAUUUUCACAUUUCCAUCUCUUCUUAACUGUAUAGGAGUGGAUGGUAUAUUGCCAUUGAAUACAUACUUCAUUGAAAGAUUGUGCUCUGUUGGAUCUACUUUCAAAAUGUGACAAACAAUCUUCAAUAAUUCUUCAUAUGUUGUAGUCUUCUUAAGUUCAAUACCUUUACCUUGGCAACCUUCAAAGUAGUACGUAUUUCCAUUUUGCACCCAAUCUCCUUUAUACAAAAGCAUUAUUCCCACUUCAUCAAUCACUGUAACAAAAAUAAAUAAAUAAAUUGAAUUAUUAAUACAAAAAAACAAUAUUAAAAUAGUAGUUAUUUGGAUAAGUAACUCAAUCCCGCAAAGUUGUCAAUUAACAUGUUGAACUAUACUAAACUAUCUUCAAGUUUUAUAUAUAAAGAACUUAACACUAGUUACGUACAGUUUUUACAUGUUAAAUAUGAACUUUACUCUUUUCAUACAAAUCUUUUUAACAAAAAAUUUCACUCAUGUUUACUCUAAAAUUUUCAUUUUUUUCCUUACAACCAAAUAAUGUUGAGAAUAGCAAAACUAAGGUAAUUUUUUUCCCAAAUGGGUUUACAUACCUUUAUUCGACCUCGCCAUAUGUUUUUCUUUAAAUCUACUCUGCUUCUAUUACCUCAAUUUUGAUGGUGGGUUAUAGUAAUGGUGUAUAGGGAUGUACUCACAAUGUUAGUGAGAGAUAUGCAUAUAGAUGUACUACUAAUGAGAGAGGUAAAACUAAAAUGUUUUGCUUUUGGAGAGAUAUCAUGUCUUUGGUGGGAGACUUACUCUUAUUUGUUUCUCUACUCUUUUCUGCUUCUCUUCACUCAGUUUUAUUGGUGGGUUACAGAGAUGGUGUAUAGGAAUGUACUCACAAUGUUGGUGAGAGAGAUGUAGUACCAAUGAGAAAGGUGAAACUAAAGUUUUCUACUUUUGGAGGGAUAUCAUGUAUUUGGUGGGGAUCUUAUGCGUUUUUUGAAGGAAAUAAAUAAGGGUAAAAAUGUCCAAAUUAGGACAUCUCUCAAAACAAUUAACUGGUGAGGUUACUUUUACAAUUUUACUUUUAUUUUGAGUCACCUAUCCAAAUAACCCUUAUUUUUAAUUAAAUCAGGGCGAACAAUAAUCUUGAAUGUUUUAAGUUGUGCGAACCGACUCUUAAGGCUACAUUUCGGUCAGCAAUAUAAACAAGGGUUUUGCCCAGAGCUAUGAAUGGUGUAACGUAUCUAUGUAAAAGGCUAGUCAUGAGACAGAUGACAAUAUAUGACAUAUCUAUUCUUCCAUUUUCCACCUCAUUACAAAUGGCAGCACUCAUCACAGACGAAUAACUAUCAUCAAAGACUGGGGACCUAAACUAACAUAGUCUUAUACAUGGAAGAAAGUAUCGGAAGUUAUGAAAACGAUAUUUCUGUUUUGGAGAAAUUUCAGGCGAUAUUUUGUUAAGGGGAAAAUGUUUGGGGUUCAGGCCACCUUACCACCAGGGCAAGUUUCCCUCUUGUUAAAUAAAAGACACUAAAAAUAUAUAUUCAAAAUUGUCAUAUAAAGAAAAUAUUAAAAAAAUAUUUUAAAGAGCAAAUUAAUUAUAAUUAUUUUAUAAUUAAAUGAAAAAAUUUCUUUUAAUUGAUUGCCAAAAAUAUAAAAAUUAUCAUGAUAAUUUCCUUCAUAGUAUUUUUAAUAUCAUUAAUAGAUUAAUUAAAUAUUAAAAAAAUAUUCAUAUAUCACAAUUUAUUUUAUACAUUUAAUACAAUUGAAUUAAAUGAAUCAUAAUUUUAAUAUUAAUAUAUAUUUUAAAAUUAAAUAUAUUAUAAUCAAAUAUCAUAAUAUGUGAUCUAAUUUAAUAAUAAAUAUACAUUUAUAAAAUUCAUAUUUUUAUCGAUGCAUAUGAUAUUAUUAUCAAAUAUGAUAAAUUAUAUUAUACAUAUAUCAAAUUCUUUAAUAAAACGAUUUUAAAAUAUAUAUUAUAUUUUUAUGAAGUUUUUCUUAUAUUUUUAUAAAUUUUGAUCAAUUUUAGGCUUAUUGAUAUUUUUUUUCCAAAAUAUCCAUCAAUAUAUCCGUAAAAUCGAAAUACCGACGAUAUAUUCGUGAUUACCGAUAUUUUUAUCCUUGGUCUUAUACGCCUACCAAACGAAAACUUCAGGCUUUAUUAAUGGAGUCCUCCCAAGCUAAUAGCGCUGUGAAGCAGACACAUGACUAGAAACCAUAGUCAUCCAACCACACACAUUUAAAAUCAACAAGAGUAUUUAUUAAAGAGAGACCUAACUUUACUCAAGCUUUGUAACACACCUCCCCAUCACAUUUCCAUCCUUCUCCGGGACUUGCCUUCUCCAUCUCAUCGUCUUUGGUUCCUUUGUCUUCUUCCAGUGCGCACUUGGGGUGGAGAUCGAAAUCACAUUCUUCACAAUAGAAUGACCACAAGUGUCCCUGCUUCUCACACCCAUUACAUCCAUAAACGCGACGCUUAGUGAGCACAAGCUCAUGCUCUUCAUGAAGGGCAUGUUUCAUCUUCUCAGGCCACCCCUUUGCCAUCUCCUCAUACUGCGCCUCGAUCUCCUUUAUAUGUUCUUCAGUGAAAGGAUAAGCAUCAGCCCCAUGAAUCAUAACAAGAUUUCUGGCUUCUGUUGUGACAGUCCGGCCAGUUGGCCCAAUGGCUAUGAGCGAGGGGAUGCCAUGGACCUUGAACGUGCGACUCAGGGAGGCCUUCCUUUUAUCCCCAAACGGAAGUGCCAGCCAUGGCAUACCUGAAAAGAAUUCAUCGAAGGAGGUCUGGUCCUUGUCACUAGAGAUGAAAAUCACUUCGAAUGCUUCAUCCUUUGUCUUAAUCUUCUGGUAUGCUUCAAUAAGUUUUGGUAGAAAAGCACGGCAUGGGGGGCACCAAUGUGCUGAGAAUAUAGGAGAUGUUCUUCCCCACUAGAUCAGACACGGGAAUCUGAANNNNNNNNNNNNNNNNNNNNNNNNNNNNNNNNNNNNNNNNNNNNNNNNNNNNNNNNNNNNNNNNNNNNNNNNNNNNNNNNNNNNNNNNNNNNNNNNNNNNUACCUGCGAGGAUUUGAGAUUGGAGAGUAGCAGAGGAAAAUAGGGCUUUUUAGGGAUUCUCUCGCUGGAAGACACCUUCAGAAAAGGGUUCUUGAUGCCCGAGAGAGAAGUGGGUGCCUUUUUUAUUUUUUUUUAUUUUUAGAUUUAGGGGAGAUAAAAAAAUAAAAAAUAAAAAAUAAAAAAAACAUGAGAACAAUUUUCUAUAAAUAAUUAUUAAUUUUCAACUUUUAUUUGGAUUAUUAAAUAAAUUUAUAUUAAUAAAAAAAGUUGUUAUCACAUUUUUUAAUAAAUUUUAAAAAUUAAAUCUCAAAUAAGAUAUUUUAUAUAAAUUAAUUUAAUUUAUCAUUUAAAAUAUAAUAAAAUAUAUAAAAAAAUCAUGAGAACAAUUUUCCACUCUCUAUAUAAAUAAUUAUUAAUUAUCAACCUUUAUUUUUAUUAUUAAAUAAAUUAAUAUUAAUAGAAAAAGUUAUUAUCACAUAUUUUUAAUAAAAUUUUAAAAAUUAAAUCUCAAAUAAGAUAUUUUAUAUAAAUUAAUUUAAUUUUUCAUUUAAAAUAUAAUAAAAUAUAUUUUAAUAAAAAUAUUUUAAAAAUUUUAAAAUAAAUACUGUCUUCAACAAGAUGAACUCCCUUCAUCUAAUAAUAUAUUGAAACUACAUCGAUAUCUUUCUUAGUAUAAAGACUAUUGCAAUCUCAUAUUUCUUAACUCAAUUUUAACUUUAUACACUUUCAAAAUUCAUAUAUAUUAUUUUUAAAAUUCAAAUAUCGAAUCUACCAAUAUAUCUCUAUUUACGAUAUUUUUCCUCUUAAUUAUAUAUAUAUCAAUUACACUUACAAGAUAACUUUAAAAUGUGUAUUCUUACUUAUGUUAUCAUUUUUUGAAGUUUUUUCAAACAUUCAUAUUAAUUUUAAAUAAUUUUCACUCCACCGAUAUUUAUGAAAAAAUAUCCACCGAUAUUUCUCCGAUAUUUCCGAUAUAUCCGUAAAAUUGAAGUACCGAUAUAUCUGUAAAAACCGAUAUUUCAAUCCUUGAUCAAGAGAAACAAUAUUUCAAACCCAAUCUAAUAAGUCCAAACAAAUAACAAUUUAACAAUAGACCCAAAUCCAAAUAAACAAUAUGCAAUUGAUAUAAUCUAAAUAUUCUCAAAUUAAUCACCAAAUACAAUAUGCCCAUAAACCCAAAUUAACAAAUUUUAAAUUAAUUCACUAACAAUAAAUUAAAUCAAAUUAUGUAUUAAUCUACCAACAACAAAUUAACUCAAAAUUUCAUAAUAAUUGAAUAAUCCAAAUUUCAUAAACAACAAUUACUACUAAAAUAAAAUAAAAUAACAACAAUAACAAUAAUAAUAAUAACAAUAAUAAUAAUAACAACGAGAACGGAUGAGAUGGGAAGGGGGUUGCCGGCCGCCAGUGGAGCGAGAGAAAAAAUGGAGAAAAAAAAAGAGGGAAGGAGAAAAGGAAAUGGGAGGCUCGGCCACCUAAAAAAUGGAAAAGAAAAGAAAAAAAACAAAAUCCAAAGGGAGAAAUGAGAAGAGAGAGAAGAUAGAAGAUAUGAAAGCGUGGGUGUGUGGCCGGCUUGGAAGGGAAGUGGAGUGUGGGGAGAGAGAAGGAAAAAAAAAAAAUCCAUGGGCCAUGUGUGUCUUCGGGUGGAGAAAAGAGAGUAGAAGAAUGAGGGGCCGAAGAAUGGAGGUGGGGGCGGCAGAGAAAAGGGUGGAAAAUAGGAAAAAAGAGAGAGAAAAGAGGAGAAAAAACGACAGAGGAAAAAGGAAAGAGAAGAGAGGAGGAAAAUCUUGGGACAAAAUGAUGGGGGGAAAAGAAAGUGGGGGGAAGAAUGGGAAGAGAGGAGGGCCGAAGAAUGGAGGUGGGGACGGCAGAGAAAAGGGUGGAAAAUAGGAAAAAGGAGAGAGAAAAGAGGAGAAAAAGCGGCAGAGGAAAAAGGAAAGAGAAGAGAGGAGGAAAGUCUUGGGACAAAAUGAUGGGGGGAAAGAAUGGGAAGAGAGGAAAAUCUUGGGACAAAUGAUGGGGGGAAAGGAAAGUUGGUGGGUGGGGAGGUGAAAGAAUGGGAAGAGAGAGAAGAAGAAGGUGGGGUGGUUGGGAAAGAGAGAGGAGAGAGGAGAGAGAAAAGAAAAAAAAUAAAAAAUAAAAAAAUAAUAAAAUAAUAGUAAUAAUAAUAAUAAAAUAAAAGUAUUAAUAAUAAAAUAAAAUAAAAUGAUAUACAAAAUAAUAAAAUUUAUUAAAUGGUGAGUGAGCCAAGGGCUCAAAAUUAACGUAAAGAUAAAAUUCGGAUAAAUUUUGGGGUUUAUACAUGUAUUCAUCUUCCAACAACCAAAUCUUUCAUUUUUUUUUUUCAAAAAAAAAAAAAAAAUUAAAGUUUUAGGGUUAAAUCACCUUACCUUAAAUCCAAAAAUCUAACCAUUGAAACUAAAAUAUGAUUUUGUAGGAAUGUUCAUCGUGUUGAAUAGAAUAUUCUUAUAAAAUUUGAGGCAAAACGAAGAUCGUUUGAUAGGUUGACUAACGUACCUAAGUUGAUAGCCCUUUUUCUUCCGCUCCUAGUUGACCUUUUCUUUCUUUCUUUUAUUAUUUCAACCGACUACUUCAUUUUAUAUAUAUAUAUAUAUAUAUAUAUAUAUUAAUACAACUUUAAAAUACCAUGCUUAUCUCUUUUAAUAAAUUAAACCAUUAUCCUUUAUUUCAUAUUCCACAAUUAUAAAUUAUACUUCAUUUAUGAUUUUUUGUCUUAUAAAAAAUAUUAUUGUAUUCUUAAUUAAAUUUGCUACAAACUUGAUUUUCAAAAUAUAUAAUUUGACUUUAAUUAUCUAAAAUAUUUUGACUUUAAAAUUCACUUAGGACAUGAUUCUAUUGACUAUUAAAAAAAUCAAUUUCAUAAAAUCUCUUAAACAUAAAAUAAUUUUUCGACAUACAAUAAGUUGAAAUUCAUAAUAAUAUUUAACCCCUUGAUUUUAUCAAUAUUUAUUUAUCAACAAAAAUUUAAGCAUUAUUCUAAAACUUAGUUCUAUCAAUUAUUUAGUCAUUCAAUUCAUAAUAAUUAAAUUAAUUCUCAUAAUAUGCUUAAUAUUCAAAUUGUCAAAAUCUAAUCUCAAUUAUUUGAUGAUCAAUUUUUUUUUCAAAUUUAAAUUUAAUUUAUAAAAGUCUUACUUUUUACAUAUGACGUGGUAGAAUUUUCAAACUAUUAAUUUUUCUAAAAUAUCUCAUAAUUAAUAUUAACAUCGUGGAUCUUAACUAUUUUUUUUAACCAUUUGACUAACAAUUUUAUAAAAACUUUUCUAAUCCUGAAUCUUAGUGUCAUUAAAAACCUGGGUAUUACAAAACUAGAGAUCACCUCUGCAUCUGGCACUAGUGGUGCUCCACCCCAUUACAAAUGGCAACUCUCAUCACAUCACAAAUGAUUAAUUAUCAUCAAAGAUUAAGGACCUAUAGUAACAUAGUCUUAUACACCUGCCAAAGAAAACUUCAGGCUUUAUUAACGGAGUCCUCUCAAACUCAUUGUGCUAUUAAGCAAACACACAUGGCUAGAAACCAUAGUCAUCCAACCACACACAUUUAAAAUCAACAAGAGUAUUUAUUAAAGAGAGACCUAACUUUACUCAAGCUUUGUAACACACCUCCCCAUCACAUUUCCAUCCUUCUCCGGGACUUGCCUUCUCCAUCUCAUCGUCUUUGCUUCCUUUGUCUUCUUCCAGUGCGCACUUGGGGUGGAGAUCGAAAUCACAUUCUUCACAAUAGAAUGACCACAAGUGUCCCUGCUUCUCACACCCAUUACAUACAUAAACGCGACGCUUAGUGAGCACAAGCUCAUGCUCUUCAUGAAGAGCAUGCUUCACCUUCUCAGGCCACCCCUUUGCCAUCUCCUCAUACUGCGCCUCGAUCUCCCUUAUAUGUUCUUCAGUGAAAGGAUAAGCAUCAGCCCCAUGAAUCAUAACAAGAUUUCUGGCUUCUGUUGUGACAGUCCGGCCAGUUGGCCCAAUGGCUAUGAGCGAGGGGAUGCCAUGGACCUUGAACGUGCGACUCAGGGAGGCCUUCCUUUUAUCCCCAAACGGAAGUGCCAGCCAUGGCAUACCUGAAAAGAAUUCAUCGAAGGAGGUCUGGUCCUUGUCACUAGAGAUGAAAAUCACUUCGAAUGCUUCAUCCUUUGUCUUAAUCUUCUGGUAUGCUUCAAUAAGUUUUGGUAGAAAAGCACGGCAUGGGGGGCACCAAUGUGCUGAGAAAUAUAGGAGGAUGUUCUUCCCCACUAGAUCAGACACGGGAAUCUGAAACAAGAGCAAUUUGUCACUGAUAACAAGCAUAAUGAGGGAGAGUAUUGCAAACUGAAAAAAGGGACACAGGGCACCCUGUUGCAUCGAACAACAUCACCUUUUAACCAAGAUCCAAAAACAGAUGUUCACGCAUCUACUGAAAGCAGAUCUUACCUUGACUCCAUCUUUCCCUAUCACAAAGUCUCUGUCCCCUGAAACCAAAAUUGACUCCAGUGUCUGUGCUUCCCGUUUUGCCUUCUCAAUCUCCUCAAGCUCUGCAAACUUCUCUGGGGUAAAAGGGUAUGCCUGAAUCCCAUGUUCUUGGAUUGCCUCGGCAACAUUGGAGUGAAGAGUCUUUCCAUCUGGCCCAAUAACAACCAAAGUGGGCAGGGCUGAGAGCUCAAAGUAGCGAGCUAGUUUCUCACAGCUCUUGUCCCUGAAGGGCAAUGCAAGCCAAGGCAUGCUUCCAAAAUAUUUUUUGAAUGAUUCUUCCUCAUCAUCAAGUGAUAUCAUGACAAUUUCAAAGCUCUCCCCCUUUGCCCUUAAUUUCUCGUAAACAUCCACUAGCGUUGGAGUAAAUUCAAGGCAUGCCUUGUAGGAAGACAAUGAGAAAAACAGCCCAACGAACUUCCCUUCUAGUUCAGACACAGGCACCUUGUAUUGAAAUAGUUCAAGAAAAAAUUCAGACCAGGAAGAAACAAUAUAAAUCAUGUUCAAAUUCAUAGAUAUGAGAAUAUAUAUUUCUUAAAUAACUCACCUUCUUUCCAUCAGUUGAAAUUACAUAGUCACGGGACUGAGAGACUAAGAUGGAUCUCAAGGAUUGUUCCUUCCUGGCUGUUUCUUCCUUCUCUUUCAUUUCUUUGAUCUUUUCAGGAGUGAAAGGAUAAGCUUCCACUCCAUACUCUUGUAUGAUAUCAACCCCAUCUUCGCUCAAAACCUUGCCAGAUUCAUCAAGCAUCACAAGGUUUGGAAUCCCCAUCACCUUGAACAGUUCAUUCAACUGAUCUCGUGCAUCUGAAUCAGAAAAUGGGAUUGCGAGCCAAGGCAUCUUGGAGAAAUAUCCAUUGAACGACUCAUCAUCAUUAUCACCUGAAACAAAGAUGAUUUCAAAAUCAUCGUUGGAGGAGAGUUCAUUGUAGGCCUCAACUAAUUUAGGGGUGAACCGCCGACAUGGCCCACACCAUGAUGCUGAAAAAUAUAGCCAAAUUUUCUUCCCCUUCAAACUCUCAACUUUAACCUGCAAAACACAGAAUUUAGGCCCAUUAAACCCUUUGCUGCUCAAAACUGUUAACAAUAGUUACGACUCUUGGUUAAUUGGGUCCGGCUUCUUUUUCCCCCCUUAAUCAGAACCUGUUUCAGCUCCUUUUUCAUUAGGAACGCAUAGUUCCUUUCAAGCUUUCUUUUACGGUAGAAUAAAAACAGAGAAGAUGGGAAAUACCUGGUGGCCAUUGUUGCGGACAAGAAAGUCCCGAUCCUCUCUUGUGAGAAGCGAAACCAAAUCGUGAGCAACGCCAUCAACGUUUUCGCUAUCCAUGUCUUCUGAUUUUGAUCACAAUUUUUUAGCCUGUGCCUUUGCACUUUGGUGCCCAGCUUUUAUAGCAGCUAAGUCGAUUAGGGUUAAGCUAACCAUCCUUGAGGGUGAAGAAAACCAAAGUCGACGUUGGUGGUGUACGUCAGAUGCCCAACGUCAGCGUGGGCCGCGGUCCCCUCUAGGGAAAAAGACAUAAGUUGCGUGGCUGCAUAUCGUAAUGAUUGUACUAAGAUUCUCAAAGUUUAGAUAAGGAGAUAAGUAUUGAAGAAAGACGUGUUUCUCAUCCGACCUCAUGAGCUCGUAUUCCUGGUGACAAGGACCCACAGUCUCUCUUUCACCUGAUUAGACCCCAUUAAAACAUAAAUGAAAAGAAUAAACUGAGAAUCAUCUUGGAAGAUGCCCAUGAAAAGUGGCACGAACUUAUUUAAUUGCUCUCAUGGAAUAAGAAUGAAAAGAUUGUAAGUUAAUAGUUUAUAGUUCUUUUACUCAAAUAAUUGAGCUUAAAUUGAGCAUAAUGUAGGUACCUUGUUAGCAUAAAUUUUCAUUUCUUAAUAAUUAAACAAAGAUAUUUUUUGCUUGAAAAAACUUGAGCUUGAUCUAUGCAAGAACACAAACAUUUAAAGAUAUGACUCUGUUCUCUAACCUUGGAUAAUAUAGAAUACACAUGUUUUACUGCCCUAGGUAAAUCUUUAUGAUCUAAGGAGGAAUUCCGAGCGAAGUACCUUUCACUCGGCUUUGGCUGGAGCAAUGAGAGUGGUUAGGGAAAGUUGAUGGAAUCUUACAUCUCUCCUUGACUUAUAGUUGGUUUUGACCAUGAACCUUGGAUGGAAAAUUUUGGUAUAAAAGUGAAAAAAAAUCGUUGUUUCAAAAACCUCAUCGUGUCAGCAUCCUUUCCUGGUGGGGAAUUGAACCUGGGACUCAUGGUUAACAAAAUGAGUAGUACACCACUAUACUAAACAACAUUUAAUUAAUAAUUUGGUAAAUAUCUAUAGAUCUGUUUUUUUAAAAUUUUUAUCACAUAAAACAUUUAAACAAAUAUAAAUAUUUAUAUCUACUAUUAUUUUUAUAAUAAUGAUUAAUUAUAAGCAUGAAAAUAAUAUAAAUUAAUCAAUAUAAUAAUUUAUUAACAUAUAAAUUAUAUAUUUAUGAUGUCACUUAUCUGACCGCGAUUUGACCAUUGCUUCGAUUAGUGAAUCAGUAAUUUUUUCGAUUCAAUGUUCAGUCUGAUUUUGAAAACAUUGAGAAAAAACUCACUCUUAUGGAUUUUUUAUCACCUUACUUUAUUUAUUUUUUCUUAUUUUUAGUUUUAGGAGUAGGAGUAGGAUUAACUUAGUUUAGUUUAAUUUUAGUUUCAGUUGUAAUAUUUAAUUUUUAUAUAAUCUUUCAUUAUUAAUUUUCAUUGUAAUGAGCUUUUAAUUUUUAGUUAAUUUCAAUUUCAAAGUUUAGUUUUAAUUUCUAGCUUUCUUAUGGUUUGAGUUUCUAGAGAUUUUAUUUCUUUGCACCUUUACUUUCUUCUAGACUUUACAUUUCUUUCUUGCCUUCAAUUUCAUCACGUUUAGCACCAAGGGAUAACUGUGUAGACCCCUUAAAAGACUAAGGGUUUUUCCAGUUGGUUUGAGGGACCACUCGGGUGAUUUUUUUUGAAGCGAGGAGGGGACCCCUUUUCUGCCAUGAAGGAGCUGCAUUGGACACGUGGACACGGCAAGAGGUAGGGGCGACCAUGCUGGUUGUUGAGGAGCCUUGCUUACUUGAUGGGUGAACAGCAGAGCCGGUAAUGACUUGCCAAGGAAGACAGGAACAGGAGGUUUGAGAGGGAUUUUUUUAGAGAGAGAGGAGAGGUAUAGAAAAGGAGGAGAGGACUCUUUUCAUGGUGGCCGUGAUAGAGACUCGGAGCUGGGGGGAAAAAGGAGUUAUACUGAUCUGGGAGGAAGAGAAAAUACAGGAAGCUGAGUAAGCACUGCCUGAGAAGCUCAGGUAUGGCCAACAUGGAUUUCUUUGUUUUGGAUUUUCUUCAUCUUCCUUCUCUAUUAUUGCUGUGAUUUUGUUACAGUUGAUUCUGGUCACAUUCCCUGGAGUUUUGUUUGAGCAUGAACUGUCUCUGUUGCAGCUUUCUUAUAAAAUGUCUAAAUCAUGCCUGGGUCCUAGUCUAAAAUAUAUUGAUCUCACUCGCCUGCGUUUAAGUACAUGGAUUGUAAUAUGAAACGUGGCUUUUCGCUGGUUCAUUUUAUUUCAUUCUUUUAUGCUCUGUUUUUUGUUAUCUUCCCCUGUUCCGGGCACCCAUCCAUGGCAUACACCAAAUUUCCUAUCCUUACAUGGAAAGGGAAAGGUAAGGCACCGUGUGAAACACGCUCUCAGUCUGUGGGGUAUGUAGAUCUGCGUUCAUGAGUCGGUCAUGCCGUGGUAUCGAGUUCUCCUUUAUUGAGGGUAAACAGAGUUGGUGUCGCCAAGUGGGGAUGGGAAGGAUAUGUUGCUAACAGAGCAGCCCAAGAAAUGUUUCUUCAUCUAAGAACGAAAUCAUUCGCUGGAAAGUGUAUCAAUGAUCUCCACUGCUGUCUGUUUAGACACAAUAUGGAACGCCUGGUGGCGUAGAUAUUGACAAGGUGACCGAGCACCUAUGUGAAAACUACGGACGUACCAGACUUGAAAAAUCCAGCAUGGAUUUCUCUGGAGAAUGCAUGAUGCGCCUGUAGACAUUUCUGGGAAUUUCUGGCAGGUCCAGAGUUGAUAUUAACAACCCUCUGGCACUCUUAAUUGGAGAACACUAAGGUCCAAUUCGACUCUCCAUGCAAUGAGUAGCCUCUCUGAUGCUUAUGAAGAUCAUCUUCUGGGUACCGAACUCGCUGAAACCUGUUUCGGAGCUGGACGAUGGUCCUUGCAUAGGGUCACACUUGGAGAAUCUAAGUUCAGAGAGCCAUUCUUCAAGAUCAGCAGCAGCGAUAACGGCGCUGCAUGGGUACCAUGAUCAUCAACAGAAAUCAUUCCAUUGUUUGAAUGUGGGAACAUUUUUAACGAGAUGACCAUUUGCAAUUUACACGACCACCUCCCUCUCAUACCUAUUUUCCUCAUACUCCCAUCACACAACAAGCCAAACCAUUCCAUCAUUCCCCUCAGUACCUCCUGCAUGCAAAUCCAUUGUUCCCAAACCCAUUGCCCAUAGCCGAUACCUAUCUCACCAUAUUCUUCUCAUUUUUUUCUUCAAACCCACUGCUUAUACUUCGUGCAACCAUACCCACUGCUAUCCACCCGCGUACACAUCCACCUUUCAUAAUGCCCAUGCAUGUUGCCACCUUUUCUCUCUCUACCCCACAUACCCUUCAUACCCAUUUUCCCCCACUACCCAUUUCCUAUCUGUGUGCAUGGAACCAUGCGUACACGGCCACCCUCAUCCUCAUGUCCCUCAUACUCACUACCCAUAUCUCACCCCCUUAUGCAUUUCCAUUAUUUCCAUUACCCAGCAUGCCUAUAUUCUUCUCAUAAUGCAUCUAAUAAACCCAUUUUUUCUAAUUCCAUUUCUAUUACUUACCUCACCUAUCGUUUUUCCCAUCAUUCUAAUCAUUGAACUCACACAUCUCACUUCCUCUCACCACUUCCAUACCCACCUUUCAUAAUACCCAUCUUCACACCACCUUUUCUCUCUCAUACCCAUUUUUCUAACAUACCCGUCACCACCCGUUUCUCUCUCUAAACUUAUUCACACCCAUCUCCUGCACCCAGCAGCCGCAAACCACCCAUUUUCCAUCUCAACCCGUUCGGCUGUUCUGUGAUUGAUGGACCUCAUGGUGACAUGGGUCUCACGACUCUUAAAAAAUAGGUUUUCGUUGAAGAAGCUCCAUGUCGUUCUAUGGUAUUUGGAGGACGCCCCCCGCCCACGAGCAAGUAUUUGCUGAAGCCUUUUUGUUUCCCACUGAUGGCAUUAAUGUUUAAACAAAUUGGUGGAUAAAAGUUAAAGACACGAGUUUUUUAUAUUAUUUUUUAUUCUUCAUUGGUGGCAUGGUUCCAGCAGGCUUCAAGGUGGUUUAUUAUUAUUUUUUCUCUUUUCUCCCACGUGCCAUCUUCUUAAUUCCACUUUACAUGUUAAAAUUUUCAUUUUUCUGAAAGCCCUGUUAUCAAAUAAUUCUUUUAAAAAUCCCAACAUUUCAAAUUCAUUCAUUUAUUCAUUUAUUUUAUCUAUUUUAUUCAUUUAUUUUUUAUUUGUCUAUUUAUUUAUUUAUUAUUUUAUUUAAGAAUAUAUAUAUAUAUAUAUAUAUAUAUAUAUAUAUAUAUAUAUAUACACGUAUCAUUUUCAAAAUAAUCUCGUAAAAUGUGAUUUUUAAAUUUAUUUUAUGAAACUUCAGAUCUAACAUUCAAUUUUCCAAAACUCCAAUAUUUUAAGUUUAAUUUUUCAAAAUUCAAUUCUCGAAAUAAUUUUCUAGAACUCUAACUUUAAAUAUAAUUUUCCCAAAAUUCAAAUAUUCAGUUCCAAUAUUCCAAAAAUUUCAUUAUUCACGUUCAUUCGUUUAAACAUUAUUUUUGUUAAUAUUAUUAUUAUUCCAUAUUUAUUUAUUUAUUUCUUUUAAAAAUUUCGAUCAUUAAAGUUUAAUUAUUAAAAAAAUUCUGACUUCUGAAUUUAGUUUUCAAUCUAAAAAAUUUUCACUAUUCACAUUUAUUCGUUUAAACAUUAUUUUUAUUAUUAUUAUUAUUCCAUAUUUAUUUAUUUAUUUAUUUUAAAAUUUCAAAUCAUUAAAGUUCAAUUCUUGAAAAAUCUGACUGUCGAAUUUAAUUUUCAAUCUCAAAUAUUCCAUUAUUCACGUUUAUUCGUUUAAAUAUUAUUCUCAUUAUUAUUAUUAUUAUUAUUAUUAUUUCAUUCAUUUAUUUUACAAAUUCCAAUAAUUAAAGUUCAAUUUUUCAAAAUUUCGUUUUCCAAAUUUAAUUUUCAAUCUAAAAAAUUCCACUAUUCACAUUCAACUGUUUAAUGAUUAUUUUCGUUAUUAUUAUUAUCCCGUUCAUUUAUUUAUUCACUUAUUCAUAUAUUUAAAAAUCUCGUCUCCAAAUAAUUUCUCAAAAUCUCAAUCUUAAAUUCAAUCUCCUAUCUCUAAACUUCUAUUUUUGGCAAUUAUUUACCUAAUCUUUAUUAUUUCAUCAUUAUUAUUAUUUCACUCAUUUAUUUAUUCGCUUAUUUGUUUAUUAAAAUUUCGUCUUUAAAUAAGUCUUCAAAAUUCCAAUUCCCAAAUUUAGUUCUCUGAAAUUUCAAUUCCUUUCAAAUUUAAUUUAUAAAAUUCUCAUUCUUAUAUUUAAUUUCUAAAAAUCCAAUUUUCAAAUAAUCUCUAAAACUCCAAUUUUCAAAUAAAUUUCAAAAAUCCAGUUUUCCCUCAAGUAGUUUUAAUUUCUAUUUAGUGACACAUGUGAUAUGUUUUGUACUCUUUAUUAUACACUGACCCCAUUUUUAUGAUAGCGCAUUGUUCGUUCGUGGCCCAGGUAUGCAUCUCUUCCCAUUCUGGUCAUUCUCUAUGCAUGUUUUGAUUCCUAUGUGUGCAUGAUCGAUUUGAGUAUCCGUUGGUUUUCCUAUUGAUUACCCCGUCAGCUUCAUCUUAUUAGUAGAGAUCCGAUUUUAGGGACCUAGAGGGGUGCUAUGGUCUUUACCGUACUUUCCUGAUAAGUAACCUGAUUCUCGAGCCCGAUCUGGUUUUUUACAGACCACCUUUUUCAAAAUAAGGAGUCACACUUAGGGUUUUCUUUUUUAUUUUAUUUACUCUCUUAAAAAUAAAACAAAUAUAAGUGGCGACUCCAAAUCAUAUUUUUUUUAAUAAAUAAAAAUCAUUUUCGAAUAAAUAUCGAUCUUGUCAUCGAGUGGAAAGCGCAUAAACUGAAAUGCGGGGUCUACAAAAUGGCAUUAAGAUUCUUCCAUAUCUCAACUUAGCUCUUUGAUGGCUUAAAUGUGUUUAAAAUGGCAGAUGAUGAAUGUUGUUGUAGUGGUUACAAGGAUUGAAAGAAAGAAACCACGAGAGUAAAAGCUUGUAGCACCGGUUGCAAGAACCAGAAGAGGACAACUUAGGGAGCCAAUUGAAAUAGCCUUCUUGAGCAAAGCACAAACCUACAAGAUUGAAAUGAAACCCAUUUGUAGGGUGAGUUUAGUAUUGUUGAUAUGGUUCUUAUUCCAUAUGACUAGGAAUCUUUUGGUAUAGAUCCAUAGCUUGGAGGAGGAUUUGGGCUAGGAGUGAUGAUCUCAAUGGAUCUUUACUCUUGGUGUUUUACACGACCAUAGAAUGGUUUAGGACCCGGUAUCUCAUGGGCUGCAGAAAUAGGCCCAAUUGGCCAGGGUGUGCAAGGUCGCGGAAAUAAUCUGAUAGUCCCUUCUCCUUCGACAGUCCUCUUUGAAAUCCCAUUUCAGUAGCCCUAGACUCCGACGAUCCUACACCUUCAAAUUAAGGUAAAACAAAUUUCUCUCCCGUGUUAGAUUCUAAAAUCCCAUUUCUGAACUCCUUUUUUCUUCUCUCAUUUUCCUUUCUCCUCUUUCCACCUCUCCAUUGCAUCAAAAUCGUAAAUAAGAUGGAUUUGUUUCUAUUCAAAUCCAUUAUCAAUGGUUGUUAAAUUUUCUUUUUGAUUCCUUCAAUUUGAUUUUUAAUCUCUUGUUUAACAAAUCAUUUGAUAGGAAUUUUUGUGCUACCAUUUCAGUAGCAGAUUGCAUAUUCAUGUGGUGAUCACUCUUCACAAAAUCGUCAUUGUCGCUCCUCUGGUACUUCUUUUUUCAUUUACACGCGCUAAAUUUUCUCUAACAAUUUGUAUUCUAGGGUUACUCUGUUUUUGCUAUUUUAGUUUGCGAAAGCCUGUUUAUUUUGCUAUUGCAUUUGCUUUUGGGCUCUCUAGAGUUCUAUCACUCCUUUUGCCUUAAAAUUGCAGUUACCUUUAGGAGGAGUGGAAAGAGAGGCAUAAGGAAACUUCGGAAGAUAUAUCUUCUAAAUUCUUCAAUUCGCGAUUUGUCCCACUUGAGGUAUUAACUCUAGCCUUAGCAGGCAUAAAGAAACUGUUAAGACUUAUUUAUUGCGUUGCGAAAAGAGAUUAUAAGUGAGGAAUUGCCUUUAUGCUGUUUCUAGCAGCCUCCUUAUCAUAGGAAGGAAUGACUUUAUGAUGAUAUACAGAAAUGGCUAAGGGGGUUGAUUUAAAGGUUUUUAACAUAUAUGCAUUUAAUAUUUACUUUUGUUUGAUAUUCAGAUUGCAAAUUAUAUUUACAAAAUUUUGAUGCAAAAUAUUGUGGGAAUUUAGCAUAGAACUGGGAGCUGAUCAAGAAUGGUGAUCUUGAUUAAUAAUGCAGGUCAAAAGAUUUUGAGGUAGGGUUGUAGUUACUUGUCACAAUUUUGUGGGACUCUGUAGAAACUUUCUUAAAGAUAUGGAAAAAUUAACCUGAAUUUCUCUCUCAAGAUUUCAAAGGAGAUUACGAGCAGUUUUGUGAAAGAAAAUAUGUGGUCAAGUUUUGUUUUAUUAACCUGAAUUAUGUUUUUGUUGAAGGUUUUACAGGUUUUAAGGAAGAUAUCCAAAUUUAUUUCUGAUUUUCCUGUAGCAGCAUUUGAUCGUGUACCACUUUCAUAUUUAUCAGCUAAUUUCACUUUCAACACUGUUAACUACGUAGGUUUUUUGUAGAUAAGUGAUCAUGCAUGUGUCCAGAAUAGACAGUGGUUUUUUAUCCUUAAUCAAUUUGUUUGAAUGAAUUUACAUUUGAUAGGUUGCUGACUUGUAUGGAAUUAGAGCUAGCCUUGUGGAUGGUGGUGAAAUUUAUUAUCAUAAAAUCAUUGUUGUUUUGUGAUAGGUGAUUUAUUAUCGUGAAAUUUAUUACCAAAAGGCCUCUAUACUUCAUGUAUCUUGUGUCCCACCAAUAUCUGAUUCUGUAUUUUCUUCUUUGUGGAUGAUCAUAUCUCGGUAGCAAUGGGUUGCAACAGUUCAAUUUUUUUGGCUCCCAAGUUUACUAAAAUUAGGUUUUGUAUAUUAUUUUUUAACUGGCUUAUGGAAUAUAGAUUUCAGCACAUCAAUCCUGGGCCUCAUACUCUGUUUCUUUUAUUGUUUUCAAACUGAUCUAUGGUUUUACAUUUAUUUAACAGUUUUUUCUCCUAAAAAUAUGUUCAGAGAGAAACAUAAGCCACCAUACUGAUAUUUCCUGCUUAUUUUUCAAUCACCAUCUGGUUGUAGCCAUUUAAAGUCUGAAAUGUUGUCUGCCUACCUAUAGUAUAGGUUUCUGUCACAUUAUAUAGAGACAAAAUCCUUCCCUGCUUUUGGGGUUUAUUUUAAAAUUUAAAUGCUUCUCUAUUUGUAGGGAGGAAAAAUCCAGGACUUGCUUUUCCAAAUACUUGAACAAGAAGAGGAUGUCAUGAUAAAACAAGGUGCACAAUCUAGAGAGAGUCGACUAAUGGCUUCUAGGUAUGGUGCUCAAUCCAAAACUUAUUCAAAUAGGGCCAAACCAGCCUUUAAAAUGAGAUGCCUGUAUGUACAUUUAGCAACCAUAUAUGUUUCUCAACAAUGAUCAAUAUCUAUGCCCUAUAUUGCUGUAAUUGAAUUUGUUUUCUAUGCAUGUCUUGUUUGAGUUGUGAUGCAGUGGUUUAAUGAUCACCUGGAUUUCAUCCAAAGAGCAUGUUUAAAUCUUUUUUGACUGAUUGUGGUAUUGUUCAAACUUUAAAUCUUUCUUGACUUGAUUGUGGAACUGUUCAAACUAAUUCUUGUUUCCUUUGAUAAAAUAUCUAGAAGGAAUGGACAAUGCCUUCAGUACCAGCUGGAUGGAAUGGACAUACCAAUCAGGAGAAGAUGCAUCAUCUUGCAACAGGUUUUAUAAUAGUAACACCUUAUUUGGUAAGAUCAUUGGAUGGAAAUUUAUUGAUAGAGGGAUCCUUAUUCUUUUUAAAAAAAUUAUGAUAUAGGAAAGUGAUUGGAGCCAGGUAUUAUUUGAGUGGCUAUGAAGCUGAAGAAGAUCUGAUAAUGUCUGUGUCAUUCAAAUCCCCUAGGGACAGUUCUGGUCAUGGCAGCCACACAGCCCCAACAGCUGCAGGCCGGUAUGCGACAAACAUGAAUUAUAAGGGCUUGGCAGCUGGAGGUGCUAGAGAAGGUGCUCCAAUGGCAAGGAUUGCAGUGUACAAGACUUGUUGGGACUCAGGGAGAUUAUUUUAAUGAUGCCAUCUCCUUGGGGUCAUUGCAUGCUGCUAGCCAUGGGGUAGUGGUAGUUGCUUCAGUUGGAAAUGAAGGAAAUUAAGGUUCAGCAACAAACCUUGCUCCAUGGAUGAACACUGUUGCUGCUAGUUCAACAGAUAGGGAUUUUAUAUCUGAUAUCGUAUUAGGAGAUGGUGCUAAUUUCAAUGUAAUGCUAUUUCCUUGUUAAUGUCUGUAGAUUUAUACAUUAUUCUCAGGCUCUUAAAACACUUCUUGGUCAUUGAAUAGGGUGAAAGUCUGAGUCUGUUUGAAAUGAAUGCCUCCACAAGCAUCAUCUCUGCUUCAGAAGCCUAUGCAGGAUACUUCACUCCCUAUCAAUCCAGGUGAAGCAGAAGGUACCUGACAAUAAGUAUAGUCUUAUAUAUUAAUGCAUAAAUGAAAAAUCUCAAGUUAUGUUUUCUUGUUUACUUGUCCCUCUAGCUACUGUUUGGAGACUUCCUUGAAUAAUACUAAAGCCAGACGGAAGAUUUUGGUAUGCCAACAUGCUGAAAGUUCAACAGAUUCCAAGCUGGCAAAGAGUGCAGUAGUCAGAGAAGCUGGUGGAGUUGGAAGGAGCAUGGGGACAGGAUUCUAUCCUAUAUUAAUCAUACAAGGUUUUUUUCUACUCUUUGACGAUGAAGAUUCGGUGUGAGAUAAUUGAAUCACUUUGUGUUUCUCAUUUAAGGCUAUUCCAUUUACAUGAAUAGCAAACCGGUUUCUAGAAUUUUCCCUGCAAAAACUGUAUUGGGAUCUCAUCCUCCUGCCCCUCGAGUUGCAGCAUUUUCUUCAAAAGGUCCCAAUGCCUUAAUCCCAGAAAUUUGGAAGGUAUAUUCCUACUAAAGAUCAUCAAAUUUUAUGUGGGCUGCUCCUUUAAUUACUUGUUUUUAAUUUUAUUCAUGCUUUAUUUCUGAUUAUUCUUCUUUGUAGCCUGAUGUCAUGGCUCCUGGAUUGAAUUUUCUUGCAGCCUAGUCUCCAGCAAUUGAGAAAAUGCAUUUCAAUAUUCUCCUCUGGAACUUCUAUGGCUUGUCCGCAUGUAACAGGAAUUGUGGCCUUGGUCAAAGCCACCAGCUUUGUAUAUAAUGUCUUGCAUUAAGGAAGCACUCACCAGUGAUUUACUUACUAUUAAAUAUAAGGACCUAAAAUCCAUGGUAACCUUGUGACAAAAUACAUGCUCCUCUAGGCUUUGUCAACAGUGUCAUCCAAAGCUCGUUAUGCUAGCUGUUACAAGCACACAUAUAACUAAAAACCAUAGCCAUGGAAACAAAUAUUUAAAAUCAAAAGGAGCUUUUACUGAAGACAGCUCAAACUUCUCAAGCUCUGGAGCAUACUUCCCCAUCACAUUUCCAUCCUUCACCAGGUUUUGCUUUCUCCAAUUUAUUAUCAUCUUUGAUUCCUUUGUCUUCGUCUAGUGCGCACUUGGGAUGGAGGUCGAAAUCACAUUCUGCACAAUAGAAUGACCACAAAUGUCCCUCCUUCUCACACCCAUUACAUCUAUACAUGCGAUGCUUAGUGAGCACAAGCUCAUGCUGUUCGUGAAGGGCGUGCUUCACCUUCGCUGGCCACCCCUUUGCCAUCUCCUCAUACCGCGCUUCGAUCUCCUUUAUAUGUUCAUCAGUGAAGGGAUAAGCAUCAGCCCCAUGAAUCAUAACAAGAUUUCUGGCUUCUGUUGUCACUGUCCGGCCCGUUGGUUCAACGGCUAUGAGCUUGGGGAUGCUCCUGACCUUGAAGGUGCGACCCAAGGAAGCUUUCCUUUUGUCCCCAAAGGGAAGUGCCAGCCAUGGCAUACCUGAAAAGAAUUCAUCAAAGGAGGCCUGAUCCCUGUCACUAGAGAUGAAAAUCACUUCGAAUGCUUCAUCCUUUGCCUUAAUAUUCUGGUAUGCUUCUAUAAGUUUUGGUAGGAAAGCGCGGCAUGGGGGGCACCAAUGUGCUGAGAAAUAUAGGAGGAUGUUCUUCCCUGCUAGGUGAGACACUGGAAUCUGUAACAAGUGCAAUUUGUAAUUGAUUGGGACGGAAAAGUGCAAAAUGAGAAAAAGAGAUGGGAUGCCCUGUCUCAUUCAAGAACAUAGAGCAGAUGUUCACACAUCCUGUGAAAGCAGAUCUUACCUUGACUCCAUCUUUCCCAAUCACAAAAUCUGUGUCCCCUGAAACCAAAAUUGACUCAAGCGUCUGCGCUUCUCGUUUUGCCUUCUCAAUCUCCUCGAGCUCCACAAACUUCUCUGGUGUAAAAGGGUAUGCCUGAAUCCCAUGUUGCUCAAUAGCUUCGGCAACAUUGGAAUGGAGAGUCUUUCCAUCUUGCCCAAUAACAACCAAAG